rnacentral:lncRNA from 1 species
GUCUCCUUUUCAAACCGGACGGAGUGAUGACAAGAGAAACUUGUGUAUACUAACCAAAUCAGACAUCUGCACUUAUCAGUGAUAUUAAAGAGUUGUAAUUAUUGAUUUUUGUAUUGAUUAGUUCACUACUAUCUCAUAUCAGCAGCACCGGUGCAGUAUAAUAAUACAGGUAACAACAGAGAAGAACGUUUUCCCCCCUCAAAAAUGAAUCUGUAAACUAUAAAGAAUCUGGGUCUCUUUUCCCCGGAAAAGAAACAUGAACAAAAGAACGGCGUCACAAGAACUCUCUCUCUUUCUCGUCUAUCUAGUGGCCAGGUCCCUUGGGGCUUGGACCGGCCGGCAACCUGGCCAUGAGCAGCUCCACCGUCUGCCUCGCCUUGUCCGCCAGCGUCACCGCCUGGACGACGCCGCCGUCGAGCAGCCGCGCCUGGUCCGCCGCCGGCGCGGGCCUCGCGGCAUCAGCGACAUGGGACGUCGACGUUAGAAGCACGGCGAGAGCCACCGCGAGGAGAACGCGCGCCGUCGACGAACCCAUGAGUUAUAGCCGAGGCUGCUCCUGAUCAAGACGAUGAUCCUGCUGUGUUUUGAUCGAUGAGGCAGGCAAAGAAGCUUGUUCUUGCUCUUGUGUGUGUGGGGUCUGAAGUUUGAUGUCUGUGUUCUUGCAGCAGCUAGGCUGGUGCUCUGCUCUUUAUAUAGGGAAAGUUUUCUAGCAGCGCGUGCGCGCGUAGUUAGCGACUUUUACGUACGGCGUGCCUCAAGAAUUCGUUGUUGUUGACCAGGACAGAGGGCGUACGANNNNNNNNNNNNNNNNNNNNNNNNNNNNNNNNNNNNNNNNNNNNNNNNNNNNNNNNNNNNNNNNNNNNNNNNNNNNNNNNNNNNNNNNNNNNNNNNNNNNNNNNNNNNNNNNNNNNNNNNNNNNNNNNNNNNNNNNNNNNNNNNNNNNNNNNNNNNNNNNNNNNNNNNNNNNNNNNNNNNNNNNNNNNNNNNNNNNNNNNNNNNNNNNNNNNNNNNNNNNNNNNNNNNNNNNNNNNNNNUGUAUGGUGGCUGCAGCUUGGGCGCAACUGCAACCUGUGGAAAGUCAGUCAGCAUGCAUGCAAGGUCUAGUUGUUGGAAAAUAUAAUACCCGUGGAAAAGAGGAAAGUCGUCCGUUCCCAAGCGGGGUAUUUUUAUUUUUCUCUUCCAUUUCGUUAUCUCUUGCUAUUAUAGUCAUUUGAAAUUUUCGUAAGUCUCCGUCAUUUUAAACUAAUAUGCUCCUACUACAUUUUUUUUUGAAAACGGGCAAAAUUUUUGCCACGUAUAUUAAUUAAGAGAGAAUAGAGUUUGUAUUACAAACACCCCUUAACAAUACACGGAAGAAUCACUCUCCCGGCAUGAUGGACCCUAGCUUCUUAGCUCCGGCGGCGACCCAAAAUGAUGCCUCCCUUUUGAUGUUGUCGAGAAGAACCGUAGGCGGAGCUGCCAUGUUGCGGAAUACACGAGCGUUUCGCUCGUUCCAGAUCGUCCAUGUAGUGAGCAUGGUGAGCGAGGCCAUGGCCUUCCGAUUGGGGACGGAAGCAUCAGUCAACCCAAGCCACCAUUCUAAGGUGGAAUGCCUCAGGGGCCAAGUAGAGGUGUCAAUGUGAAUGAGUUGCAGCCACGCCUUGACCAAGCCCCAUAGGCGAAUGGUGAAACGACAUUUGAAGAAGAGAUGGUCAACCGAUUCAUUCUCACGCAUGCAUAAGGGGCAUGAGCCACAGUUAGGCCAACCGCGCUUGGCCAAACGAUCCGCAGUCCAGACUCUAUUUUGGAUGGCCAGCCAAGCAAAGAACUUGACCUUGGGUGGAGCCCAGAUUUUCCACACUGCAUGCUCCAAGGGAGAGCGAAUGAGGCCGAGAAAUUGCGCUUUGUAGGCGGACUCCCCCGUGUAGAGGCCACUAGUAGAAUGCUUCCAAACAAUGUCGUCGUCAAUAUCCUCCUGUAGGUGAAAAUCCCGGAUGGUGGCCCAAAGCUCGAGAAAUUGUCUGAAGUGCUCUAUAGAAAAAUCGGACGUCAUCUUGAUCUUUUUAACCCAAGCGCCAUCCUUUAGUGCUUCCCGCACCUUCCAAUUCUUCCUCGUUGACGCCGCGUAGAUGAGAGGGGCCAAAUCCAUGGGUUUGCGGUUGUGCACCCACGGAGAGUCCCAAAAGGGGGUGCGCGCGCCAUUUCCCACAAUAAUAGUUGAGGAGGCAUAGAAGAAGUUGUAGUCUGCGUUAUCGCACGGGUUGCCCAUGCCAACCCACAUCUUAGUUGGCUCCUUCCACUCAAACCAAAUCCAACGAAUCCUCAGUGCCCUAGCAAAUUUCUCCGUGUUUAGCACUCCAAGACCCCCAUUAGCAAUUGGGCGGCAAACGGUGUCCCAAUUAACCUUGCAUUUGGCCCCGGUGGUCUUGUCAGUUCCCUCCCAAAGGAACGCUCGCUCAAGCUUGUUGAGAUUUUUGAGGGUGCUUGUGGGGAGGACGAGUGUAGUGAUGAAGUAUAUGGCUUGGGAGGCAAGCACCGACUUGACCAAGGCGGUGCGUCCCAUAGACGUGAUGUUUUGCCCGUCCCAAGGGACCAACUUUGCCGCCGCCUUAUCCUCCAAGAACUGAAAGUCCACCUUCCUGAGCCGCCACACAGAGAGCGGGAGGCCUAAGUAUUUCAUGGGGAAGGAUCCGCGCGCCGCCGGAAGGUUUUGAAGGAUGUCCGACAGGUUGAUGUGCCCACAACGGAUUGGGAUGAUCGAGCUCUUGUGAAAGUUGGUGGCUAGACCGGUGACAUCGCCAAAAAGACAAAGGAUGUUGGAGAGGUGGUCAAUAUCGCGCUUGAUGGGUGCCAUGAAGACCGCCGCGUCGUCCGCAUAAAGGGAGGUUCGUAAAAGAACCCCACGGCCACGGAUUUUAUGAAAUAGCCCUGUAGUUGCCGCCAUCUCAAGAAUUCUUUGGAGUGGGUCGAUCGCGAGCACAAAUAGCAAGGGGGAUAUAGGGUCCCCCUGUCGGAGACCCUGGCCAUGGAUGAUGGGGCUGCCAGCGACGCCGUUAAGAAGAAUCCGCGAGGAAGAGGAGCAAAGUAGGGCGGUGAUCCAAUCUCUGAAAAUGCUCGGGAACCCCCUACGGCGGAGGAGGUCAAUGAUAUACUCCCACUUGACUGAAUCAAAUGCCUUCCGAAUGUCCAACUUGAAGAGAAGCGAAGGGGUUUUGCACUUGUGGAGCCUCCGCGCAAGAUUCCUCACAUACAUGAAAUUGUCAUGGAUGCUUCUUGUCUUGAUGAAAGCACUCUGCGCGUUGGAGACAAGGUGGAGCAUGUGGUGGCUAAGACGGAUGGCAAGGACCUUUGCAAUGAUCUUGGGAAUAGCAUGAAUCAGACUAAUUGGACGGUAGUCGGAGAUUUCUUCAGCUCCAUCCUUCUUUGGGAGCAGUAUAAUGUUGACGGAGUUGACCCAAUGAAGGUUGGCCGUGCGGAGGUUACCGAAGCAAAAGAUGGCCUUCAUAAUAUCAUGCUUGAUGAUGGCCCAACAACUCUUGAAGAAAAGCCCGGUGAAUCCAUCCGGGCCGGGCGCCUUGUCACCAGGCAUCUGGUUGAUGGCCUCACGCACCUCCUCCUCGGAGAAAGGGUCCGCGAGGUUGCCCAAAUCAUCACGAGCCUCAAUGUCCAACCCCUCCCAGUUGAAGUCUGUGGUCGCCGUGGAGCCUUUUCCCAUGGUCGAGGAGAAAUAGUCGUGGACAAAAGCCUCUUUUUGAGAGUGCUCAGUGACCCAUCCACCGUUGUGCUUGAUACGGUGUAUGUGGUUCUUGCGUCUUCUAGCGUUCACCCGGCGGUGAAAAAAUUUGGUGUUUGCAUCACCCUCUUUGAGGUUGGAAUGAUUUGGAUGUGGAUAAAAAGAUCGGCUGGAACCAGACCUGGGUAGACAUUUGUUUGCCCAAUGUACUGUAGUUCAGCACUGGUACACGACCAAGUCUUUUUUUUUUGAACCAAUGGUAGACGACCAAGUCAAUAAUAUAAGGUUGUUGGUACCUUCCUCCCGUUGCUAUCGGAAAGAAAUCAAAGGUGUGCGUUGUUGAAUUCUGCUGCUGCUCCUUGACUUCCGUUCUGCACGUUGCGACGACGUACCUGUAGGCUGCCGUCGUUGGUUCCUCGAAGCAGCCUGUGCGACACGCACGGGCCGUACUACUCCACUUGUUUCGUGUUUGGGUACAGGAAACAUCCGGAUAUUUUGGUGCAGGUCUCUGGAUUUUACCACCUGUUUUCACAAAUUAAUUUCGAAAUUCGAACAAAGUUUAGAUGAGUUAGCUCGAAUUUAAUUCGUGCAAGUGGGCCGACCCAGACGGCAAUUUUGUCUUUUUUUGCCCGUUUGGGUCGGCCAGGCGGACACGGACGUCCACUUCCGCGUUUGGGUCGGUGUGUGCGUUCAACGCUGCCCCGACCCAUUUUGACGGCGCCGACAUAAAAAACAGUGCAUGCAUAUUUAAAAUAAAAACAACUUAAUUAAACAUUAAAGCCGGCCAGGAAGGCCGGCGAGAGUGCACGCGUCCACAUUAGCAUUAAAAAACUAAAAACAAACUAAACUACGAGGCGGCGCGCUGCCCUAGGCGGCGUCGUCGUCGUCUUCCUCCUCCUCGGGGCCGGUGAGGUCGAUGAGCGUCGGCGCAGGACCGGCCCAGGGGAACGCCGUGUUCUAGGCGGCGGCGAUGACGACCGCGGGCAGUUGUGCCAGCGUGGGCAGUGCCGGCGCGGGGGGCUGUGCGGCCGCCUGUGCAGCCGCGGCCUGGCGCGCCUCCUCCUCAGCCUCGCGCUCCUCCUCCUCGAGGUCGCGCUCGAGCAUCUCCUCGUACUCGCCGCGACGGCGCUCCUCGGCCAGCCGUCGCUGGCGCCACAUCUCGAGGUACGCCGCCUCCUGCGCCGGCGUUGCCUCCAUCCAAACCGGUGGCGCGGAGACCCACUCGCGCAGUACUCCCGUCCAGGAGUAGCGCUCGAUGGGGACGGCUCCGGCUCGGGCUCCGGCUCGGCCUUGACGCGACGUCGGGGAGGGGACGGCGGGGCCACCGGCGGCAGCACGCAGUCGCCAGCCGCGGAGAGGGCAAUGGCCUGCGCCAUGGCUGCCUCGUACCGAGCCUCCUCUUCCUCCACCGCCUCCACCCUGUGCCGCUCGUCCUCCUCGCUCUCGCGGUAGACCGCCGCAAUGGCCGCCUGGUAGGCGUCCUCCGUCGCCUGGUCCUCCUCGCGGACGACGAGCGGGGGCGGCGGCACGCUGCGGUCGACCUCGCGCACGCCGCGUCGCCUCGCCUCCUUGUGCUCAAAGGCGAACCACCUCUUCCAGUUCGGCGAGUCGGAUGCAUAGGCGGCGUCGCGAUGCUGCUCCGGCGUCAGCAGCACCCGCCGGCGCCGCACCUCCACGUGCGCCCUAGCUGACCGCGGCGCCGCCGGCACUGGGAUCCUCUCUGGAUCCAGAUACCAGUUGUGUGGCAGGGUGGCGUCGGGGUACGGCAGAGGCACGCGCUGCUGCCAAUGCCAGUCCGCCUGGUGCACUGGCACGUUCACGCGCUGCCUCUGCCGGCGAGCCAGCGCCGGCGGAGGCGGGAGGAACUCAGAGGGGAAAGGGACGGUGUGGGCCUUGCCCUUGGCCUUACUGCUGCUGCCGGCGCCAGAGAAGAGCCCCAUUUGGCACGGCUGGGGUGGCUAGGGUUGGCUAGGGUUUGCCGGCAACAGGGGAGCGAGCGUGCCUAGAUGUGGACGGGGGCUGGCUGGAGGAGGACGGCCCCGCCGCACUGUCGACCUAAAAAAGGACGACCGCCGUCGCUGACGUGUGAACUCGUGGUCAUAAAUUAAGCUGACCAGGUAGGUGGCGGGCCGUUGGACGACUGCCAAGUGGGGCCACGGCGAACACCGAGAAGGUGCACGUGGCGUCCGUUCCGCGUCCGCGCCGACGCAAUUGAAGCGCAAAUUUGGACCGUAAAUGCGUCGGCGCGGACGCGAAGCGAAUUCCAUUCGGGUUUGGGUCGACGCGUUGGGUCACCACUUUUGCCCGUGCCAACUCAAACAGACAUGGGCGGACGAAAUGAGUCGCCCCAUUGGAGUUGCUCUUAUAGAGUACUCUGGUCUUUUUCUCGUCGAAUGUGUUAUGUCCAACCCAACGGAGAAUUGGACUUUAAGUUGACGUUGGGCACUUACUUCUUUUUUUUCGAACCAUGCAGGAGAACUGCAUGUGAUCAUUAUAGAAGAUAAAAAAACAAGUACAAAGUCAAAAGUAACAUACCCCUCUUUCUCAGUUUACAAGACGUGCGCGUACUUCUAGGUUGUCAAUUUGACCAACUUAAUAGAAGCCAUAUAUUACAAAAAACAUAACAUUAUAAACUUCAGAUGUUCUACUUUUAAAUGGUAUAAUUUUUUUGUUAUAUAGUUUAUAUUACGGUGAUAAAAUUGACAACCUAGAAAUACGCGUAGGACUUGCAAACUGAAACGGAGGGAGUACAGAAAAGCGACCAAAACAAGAGAAAGACAAGUGGUGACACAGAAUUAUACAAACAAGGAUUCACAGCAAUAUGGAUCAUCUUUACUUAUAAUUAGGACUCCACUACAAAGAAUUUUUUCCAUGGCAAGUUGAACAUUCUUUUAUGGCAAUUUGUGUUUGCCGGAGAUGGUAAGUUCAGUUGGCAAGCAUGACAAAUCUUCCUCGGCUUUUUUUAUAGAAAAUUUCUUGCUCAUAAACUAAAUUUACCGUUCUGACAUCAACAAAACUUGGCAUAAAAACUUUCGAUUUGCCAUACUUAAAAAUCAGAUGUCGGAUUUUUAGCAUUAACGUAUAACUAAUACAAAAGUUGAAUGUACUCUCCGGUCCUUUUUACUCCACAUAGAAAAUUUGUCUUAAGUCAUACUUCGUAAAGUUUGUUCAACUUUGUAAAAAAGAAUGUCAACACUCACAAUACGAAAUCAGUAUCACUAGAUGAGUCAUGAAUUCAAUUUUCAUGUUAUAACUUUAAUAUUGCAAAUUUUACUACGCUUAUAAGAUUUCUCUGAAGUCACACCUCAUAAAAGUUUGACCAUAUUUAUAUAAACAAAUAUCAACAAGGACCGGAGUGAGUACGAAGGCCAAGACGAACACUUUGAGAUAUGGGAAAUGUAUUAUUAUAUAGACAAACGAAGAAAUACCCACACCACGACACUCCAGGGUGGUGCGGGAGGAACCUUAGCCGCCACCAUGUCCCCUCCCCCACGACCACCUUCUAAAAAUAAACUUACUAAGCUCGCCUCGGGAGGAGAGAUGGCUUUGAGGAAUUCUAGCUGUCACUAUCUCCUUGUUGGGGAACGUAGUAUUUCAAAAUUUUACCUACGAUCACGCAAGAUCUAUCUAGGAGAUGCAUAGCAACGAGGGGGGAGAGUGUGUCCACGUACCCUCGUAGACCGAAAGCGGAAGCGUUUAAUAACGCGGUUGAUGUAGUCGAACGUCUUCACGAUCCAACCGAUCCAAGUACCGAACGUACGGCACCUUCGUGUUCAGCACACGUUCAACUCGAUGACGUCCCUCAAGCUCUUGAUCUAGUUGAGGACGAGGGAGAGUUUCGUCAGCACGACGGCGUGGUGACGGUGAUGAUGUUACCGGCGCAGGGCUUCGCCUAAGCACUACGACGAUAUGACCGAGGUGUGUAACUAGGGAGGGGGCACCGCACACGGCUAAGACAAAUCUUGGUGUGUCUAUGGGAUUCCCCUCCCCCGUAUAUAAAGGAGGGGAGGAGGAGGCGGCUGGCCUAGGGGGCGCUUCAUAGAAGGGAGUUCAACUAGGACUCUGUCGACGUCCUGGGAACGGGGGUAUCAAGACUUGCCUGCCUGCGGCCCAGGGCGUGGCUCAUCCAGCGGCCUGGUAUGAUCCAUCUUCAUCAACAACCACUCAAGACCCUCGCGAGGGUCCAAGCCUCGCGAGGCGGACGACGCAAGACCUCCUCAGGGGCGGCCUCCCUAGGCUGGCUCCUGAGUGUUGGAAAUAUGCCCUAGAGGCAAUAAUAAAUGGUUAUUAUUAUAUUUCUUUGUUCAUGAUAAUUGUCUAUUGUUCAUGCUAUAAUUGUGUUAUCCGGAAAUCGUAAUACAUGUGUGAAUACAUAGACCACAACGUGUCCCUAGUAAGCCUCUAGUUGACUAGCUCGUUGAUCAACAGAUAGUCAUGGUUUCCUGACUAUGGACAUUGGAUGUCAUUGAUAACGGGAUCACAUCAUUAGGAGAAUGAUGUGAUGGACAAGACCCAAUCCUAAGCGUAGCAUAAAAGAUCGUGUAGUUCGUUUGCUAGAGCUUUUCCAAUGUCAAGUAUCAUUUCCUUAGACCAUGAGAUCGUGCAACUCCCGGAUACCGUAGGAGUACUUUGGGUGUGCCAAACGUCACAACGUAACUGGGUGACUAUAAAGAUACACUACGGGUAUCUCCGAAAGUGUCUGUUGGGUUGGCACGGAUCGAGACUGGGAUUUGUCACUCCGUAUGACGAAGAGGUAUCUCUCGGCCCACUCGGUAAUGCAUCAUCAUAAUGAGCUCGAUGUGACUAAGGAGUUAGCCACGGGAUCAUGCAUUGCGGUACGAGUAAAGUGACUUUCCGGUAACGAGAUUGAACAAGGUAUUGGGAUACCGACGAUCGAAUCUCGGGCAAGUAACGUACCGAUUGACAAAGGGAAUUGUAUACGGGAUUGAUUGAAUCCUCGACAUCGUGGUUCAUCCGAUGAGAUCAUCGUGGAACAUGUGGGAGCCAACAUGGGUAUCCAGAUCCCGCUGUUGGUUAUUGACCGGAGAGGCGUCUCGGUCAUGUCUGCAUGUCUCCCGAACCCGUAGGGUCUACACACUUAAGGUUCGGUGACGCUAGGGUUGUAGAGAUAUUAGUAUGCGGAAACCCAAAAGUUGUUCGGAGUCCCAGAUGAGAUCCCGGACGUCACGAGGAGUUCCGGAAUGGUCCGGAGGUGAAGAAUUAUAUAUGGGAAGUCCAGUUUCGGCCACCGGGAAAGUUUCGGGGGUUAUCGGUAUUGUACCAGGACCACCGGAAGGGUCCCGGGGGUCCACCGGGUGGGGCCACCUAUCCCGGAGGGCCCCAUGGGCUGAAGUGGGAAGGGAACCAGCCCUUAGUGGGCUGGGGCGCCCCCCAUGGGCCUCCCCCUGCGCCUAGGGUUGGAAACCCUAGGGGUGGGGGGCGCCCCACUUGGCUUGGGGGGGAAGCCACCCCCCUUCCCCCUUGGCCGCCGCCCCCCCUUGGAGAUCUGAUCUCCCAGGGUCGGCGGCCCCCCCAGGGGUCCCUAUAUAUAGUGGGGGGGGGAGGGAGGGCAGCAGCACCACAACCCCUGACGCCUCCCUCUCCCCCUGCAACACCUCUCCGUCCCGUUUGUGCUUGGCGAAGCCCUGCCGGGAUCCCGCAACUUCCACCACCACGCCGUCGUGCUGCUGGAUCUCCAUCAACCUCUCCUUCCCCCUUGCUGGAUCAAUAAGGAGGAGACGUCUCUGCUCCGUACGUGUGUUGAACGCGGAGGUGCCGUCCGUUCGGCACUCGGUCAUCGGUGAUUUGGAUCACGGCGAGUACGACUCCAUCAACCCCGUUCAUUGGAACGCUUCCGCUCGCGAUCUACAAGGCUAUGUAGAUGCACUCCUUUCCCCUCGUUGCUAGUAUACUCCAUAGAUGGAUCUUGGUGAUGCGUAGGAAAUUUUAAAAUUCUGCUACGAUCCCCAACAGUGGCAUCAUGAGCCAGGCCUAUGCGUAGUUACUAUGCACGAGUAGAACACAAAGCAGUUGUGGGCGUAGAUGUUGCCAAUUCUUCUUGCCGCUACUAGUCUUAUCUUGUUUCGGCGGUAUUGUGGGAUGAAGCGGCCCGGACCGACCUUACACGUACGCUUACGUGAGACAGGUUCCACCGACUGACAUGCACUAGUUGCAUAAGGUGGCUAGCGGGUGUCUGUCUCUCCCACUUUAGUCGGAACGGAUUCGAUGAAAAGGGUCCUUAUGAAGGGUAAAUAGAAAUUGGCAUAUCACGUUGUGGUUUUACGUAGGUAAGAAACGUUCUUGCUAGAAACCUAUACAAGCCACGUAAAAAACUUGCAACAACAAUUAGAGGACGUCUAACUUGUUUUUGCAGCAUGUGCUAUGUGAUGUGAUAUGGCCAGAAGAUGUGAUGAAUGAUAUAUGUGAUGUAUGAGAUUGAUCAUAUUCUUGUAAUAGGAAUCACGACUUGCAUGUCGAUGAGUAUGACAACCGGCAGGAGCCAUAGGAGUUGUCUUUAUUUUUUUGUAUGACCUGCGUGUCAUUGAAUAACACCAUGUAAAUUACUUUACUUUAUUGCUAAAUGCGUUAGCCAUAGAAGUAGAAGUAAUCGUUGGCGUGACAACUUCAUGAAGACACAACGAUGGAGAUCAUGAUGAUGGAGAUCAUGGUGUCAUGCCGGUGACGAAGAUGAUCAUGGUGCCCCGAAGAUGGAGAUCAAAGGAGCAAAAUGAUAUUGGCCAUAUCAUGUCACUAUUUGAUUGCAUGUGAUGUUUAUCAUGUUUUGCAUCUUAUUUGCUUAGAACGACGGUAGUAAGUAAGAUGAUCCCUUAUAAUAAUUUCAAGAAAGUGUUCCCCCUAACUGUGCACCGUUGCGAAGGUUCGUUGUUUCGAAGCACCACGUGAUGAUCGGGUGUGAUAGAUUCUAACGUUCGCAUACAACGGGUGUUGACGAGCCUAGCAUGUACAGACAUGGCCUCGGAACACACGCAAUACACUUAGGUUGACUUGACGAGCCUAGCAUGUACAGACAUGGCCUCGGAACACGGAGGACCGAAAGGUCGAGCAUGAGUCUUAUAGAAGAUACGAUCAACAUGGAGAUGUUCACCGAUCUUGACUAGUCCGUCUCACGUGAUGAUCGGACACGGCCUAGUUAACUCGGAUCAUGUUUCACUUAGAUGACUAGAGGGAUGUCUAUCUGAGUGGGAGUUCAUUGAGUAAUUUGAUUAGAUGAACUUAAUUAUCAUGAACUUAGUCUAAAAUCUUUACAAUAUGUCUUGUAGAUCAAAUGGCCCACGUUGUCCUCAACUUCAACGCGUUCCUAGAGAAAACCAAGCUGAAAGAUGAUGGCAGCAACUAUACGGACUGGGUCCGGAACCUGAGGAUCAUCCUCAUAGCUGCCAAGAAAGAUUAUGUCUUAGAAGCACCGCUAGGUGAAGCACCCAUCCCAGAGAACCAAGACGUUAUGAACGCUUGGCAAUUACGUGCUGAUGAUUACUCCCUCGUUCAGUGCGGCAUGCUUUACAACUUAGAACCGGGGCUCCAAAAGCGUUUUGAGAAGCAUGGAGCAUAUGAGAUGUUUGAAGAGCUGAAAAUGGUUUUCCAAGCUCAUGCCCGGGUCGAGAGAUAUGAAGUCUUCGACAAGUUCUUCAGCUGUAAAAUGGAGGAAAAUAGUUCUGUUAGUGAGCACAUACUCAGAAUGUCUGGGUUGCACAACCGCUUGUCUCAGCUGGGAGUUAAUCUCCCGGAUGACGCGGUCAUUGACAGAAUCCUUCAGUCGCUUCCACCAAGCUACAAGAGCUUUGUGAUGAACUUCAAUAUGCAGGGGAUGGAAAAGACCAUUCCUGAGGUAUAUUCAAUGCUGAAAUCAGCGGAGGUGGAGAUCAGAAAGGAACAUCAAGUGUUGAUGGUGAAUAAAACCACUAAGUUCAGGAAAGGCAAGGGUAAGAAGAACUUCAAGAAGGACGGCAAGGGAGUUGCCGCGCCCGGUAAGCCAGUUGCCGGGAAGAAGUCAAAGAAUGGACCCAAACCUGAGACUGAGUGCUUUUAUUGCAAGGGAAGUGGUCACUGGAAGCGGAACUGCCCCAAAUACUUAGCGGACAAGAAGGCCGGCAACACCAAAGGUAUAUGUGAUAUACAUGUAAUUGAUGUGUACCUUACCAGUACUCGUAGUAGCUCCUGGGUAUUUGAUACCGGUGCGGUUGCUCAUAUUUGUAACUCAAAACAGGAACUGCGGAAUAAGUGGAGACUGGCAAAGGAUGAGGUGACGAUGCGCGUCGGGAAUGGUUCCAAGGUUGAUGUGAUCGCCGUCGGCACGCUACCUCUGCAUUUACCUACGGGAUUAGUUUUAAACCUCAAUAAUUGUUAUUUAGUGCCAACUUUGAGCAUGAACAUUGUAUCUGGAUCUCGUUUAAUUCGAGAUGGCUACUCAUUUAAAUCCGAGAAUAAUGGUUGUUCUAUUUAUAUGAGAGAUAUGUUUUAUUGUCAUGCCCCGCUGGUCAAUGGUUUAUUCUUGAUGAAUCUCGAACGUGAUGUUACACAUAUUCAUAGUGUGAAUACCAAAAGAUGUAAAGUUGAUAACGAUAGUCCCACAUACUUGUGGCACUGCCGCCUUGGUCACAUUGGUGUCAAGCGCAUGAAGAAGCUCCAUGCAAAUGGACUUUUGGAGUCUCUUGAUUACGAAUCAUUUGACACGUGCGAACCAUGCCUCAUGGGUAAGAUGACCAAGACUCCGUUCUCCGGAACAAUGGAGCGAGCAACCAACUUAUUGGAAAUCAUACAUACCGAUGUGUGCGGUCCAAUGAGUGUUGAGGCUCGCGGAGGAUAUCGUUAUGUUCUCACUCUCACUGAUGACUUAAGUAGAUAUGGGUAUGUCUACCUAAUGAAACACAAGUCUGAAACCUUUGAAAAGUUCAAGGAAUUUCAGAGUGAGGUUGAGAAUCAACGUGAUAGGAAAAUAAAGUUCUUACGAUCAGAUCGUGGUGGAGAAUAUUUAAGUCACGGAUUUGGUACGCACUUAAAGAAAUGUGGAAUCGUUUCACAACUCACGCCGCCUGGAACACCUCAGCGAAACGGUGUGUCUGAACGUCGUAAUCGCACUCUAUUGGAUAUGGUGCGAUCUAUGAUGUCUCUUACCGAUCUACCGCUCUCAUUUUGGGGCUAUGCUUUAGAGACUGCCGCAUUCACUUUAAAUAGGGCUCCGUCAAAAUCUGUUGAGACGACACCGUAUGAAUUAUGGUUUGGGAAGAAACCUAAGCUGUCGUUUCUAAAAGUUUGGGGAUGCGAUGCUUAUGUCAAGAAACUUCAACCUGAAAAGCUCGAACCCAAGUCGGAAAAAUGCGUCUUCAUAGGAUACCCCAAGGAAACUAUUGGGUAUACCUUCUACCUCAGAUCCGAAGGCAAGAUCUUUGUUGCCAAGAACGAGUCCUUUCUGGAGAAAGAGUUUCUCUCGAAAGAAUUGAGUGGGAGGAAAGUGGAACUUGAUGAGGUGAUAGUCACCCCUUCCGAACCGGAAAGUAGCGCAGCGCGGGAAGAUGUUCCUGUGGUGCCUACACCGACUGGGGAGGAAGUUAAUGAUGAUGAUCAUGAAGCUUCGGAUCAAGUUACUGCUGAACCUCGAAGGUCCACAAGGACACGUUCCGCACCAGAGUGGUACGGCAACCCUGUCCUGGAAAUCAUGUUGUUAGACAACGGUGAACCUUCGAACUAUGAAGAAGCGAUGGCGGGCCCGAAUUCCGACAAAUGGCUAGAAGCCAUGAAAUCCGAGAUAGGAUCCAUGUAUGAAAACGAAGUAUGGACUUUGACUGACUUGCCCGAUGAUCGGCGAGCCAUAGAAAAUAAAUGGAUCUUUAAGAAGAAGACAGACGCGGAUGGUAAUGUGACCAUCUAUAAGGCUCGACUUGUCGCUAAGGGUUAUUGACAAGUUCAAGGGGUUGACUACGAUGAGACUUUCUCACCCGUAGCGAAGCUGAAGUCCGUCCGAAUCAUGUUAGCAAUUGCCGCAUUCUAUGAUUAUGAGAUAUGGCAAAUGGACGUCAAAACGGCAUUCCUUAACGGCUUCCUUAAGGAAGAAUUGUAUAUGAUGCAGCCGGAAGGUUUUGUCGAUCCUAAGAAUGCUAACAAGGUAUGCAAGCUCCAGCGCUCCAUCUAUGGACUGGUGCAAGCAUCUCGGAGUUGGAACAUUCGUUUUGAUGAGAUGAUCAAAGCGUUUGGGUUUACACAGACUUAUGGAGAAGCCUGUGUUUACAAGAAAGUGAGUGGGAGCUCUGUAGCAUUUCUCUUAUUAUAUGUGGAUGACAUACUAUUGAUGGGAAAUGAUAUAGAAUUAUUGGAAAGUAUAAAGGCCUACUUGAAUAAGUGUUUUUCAAUGAAGGACCUUGGAGAAGCUGCUUAUAUAUUAGGCAUCAAGAUCUAUAGAGAUAGAUCAAUACGCCUCAUUGGUCUUUCACAGAGUACGUACCUUGACAAGAUAUUGAAGAAGUUCAAUAUGGAUCAGUCCAAGAAGGGGUUCUUGCCUGUAUUGCAAGGUGUGCAAUUGAGCACGGCUCAAUGCCCGACCACGGCAGAAGAUAGAGAAAAGAUGAGUGUCAUCCCCUAUGCCUCGGCCAUAGGGUCUAUUAUGUAUGCCAUGCUGUGUACCAGACCUGAUGUAAACCUUGCUGUAAGUUUGGUAGGAAGGUACCAAAGUAAUCCCGGCAUGGAACACUGGACAGCGGUCAAGAAUAUCCUGAAGUACCUGAAGAGGACUAAGGAUAUGUUUCUCGUUUAUGGAGGUGACGAAGAGCUCGUCGUAAAGGGUUACGUCGACGCUAGCUUCGACACAGAUCUGGAUGACUCGAAGUCACAAACCGGAUACGUGUAUAUUUUGAAUGGAGGAGCAGUAAGCUGGUGCAGUUGCAAGCAAAGCAUCGUGGCGGGAUCUACAUGUGAAGCGGAGUACAUGGCGGCCUCAGAGGCAGCACAGGAAGCAGUCUGGAUAAAGGAGUUCAUUACCGACCUAGGGGUGAUUCCCAAUGCGUCGGGCCCGAUGACUCUCUUCUGUGACAACACUGGAGCUAUUGCCCUUGCGAAGGAGCCCAGGUUUCACAGGAAGACCAGGCAUAUCAAGCGUCGCUUCAACUCCAUUCGUGAAAGUGUUCAAAAUGGAGACAUAGAUAUUUGUAAAGUACAUACGGACCUGAAUGUAGCAGAUCCGUUGACUAAACCUCUCCCUAGAGCAAAACAUGAUCAACACCAGGACGCUAUGGGUAUUCGAUUCAUCACAAUGUAACUAGAUUAUUGACUCUAGUGCAAGUGGGAGACUGUUGGAAAUAUGCCCUAGAGGCAAUAAUAAAUGGUUAUUAUUAUAUUUCUUUGUUCAUGAUAAUUGUCUAUUGUUCAUGCUAUAAUUGUGUUAUCCGGAAAUCGUAAUACAUGUGUGAAUACAUAGACCACAACGUGUCCCUAGUAAGCCUCUAGUUGACUAGCUCGUUGAUCAACAGAUAGUCAUGGUUUCCUGACUAUGGACAUUGGAUGUCAUUGAUAACGGGAUCACAUCAUUAGGAGAAUGAUGUGAUGGACAAGACCCAAUCCUAAGCGUAGCAUAAAAGAUCGUGUAGUUCGUUUGCUAGAGCUUUUCCAAUGUCAAGUAUCAUUUCCUUAGACCAUGAGAUCGUGCAACUCCCGGAUACCGUAGGAGUACUUUGGGUGUGCCAAACGUCACAACGUAACUGGGUGACUAUAAAGGUACACUACGGGUAUCUCCGAAAGUGUCUGUUGGGUUGGCACGGAUUGAGACUGGGAUUUGUCACUCCGUAUGACGGAGAGGUAUCUCUGGGCCCACUCGGUAAUGCAUCAUCAUAAUGAGCUCGAUGUGACUAAGGAGUUAGCCACGGGAUCAUGCAUUGCGGUACGAGUAAAGUGACUUGCCGAUAACGAGAUUGAACAAGGUAUUGGGAUACCGACGAUCGAAUCUCGGGCAAGUAACGUACCGAUUGACAAAGGGAAUUGUAUACGGGAUUGAUUGAAUCCUCAACAUCGUGGUUCAUCCGAUGAGAUCAUCGUGGAACAUGUGGGAGCCAACAUGGGUAUCCAGAUCCCGCUGUUGGUUAUUGACCGGAGAGGCGUCUCGGUCAUGUCUCCAUGUCUCCCGAACCCGUAGGGUCUACACACUUAAGGUUCGGUGACGCUAGGGUUGUAGAGAUAUUAGUAUGCGGAAACCCGAAAGUUGUUCGGAGUCCCGGAUGAGAUCCCGGACAUCACGAGGAGUUCCGGAAUGGUCCGGAGGUGAAGAAUUAUAUAUGGGAAGUCCAGUUUCGGCCACCGGGAAAGUUUCGGGGGUUAUCGGUAUUGUACCGGGACCACCGGAAGGGUCCCGGGGGUCCACCGGGUGGGGCCACCUAUCCCGAAGGGCCCCAUGGGCUGAAGUGGGAAGGGAACCAGCCCUUAGUGGGCUGGGGCUCCCCCCCAUGGGCCUCCCCCUGCGCCUAGGGUUGGAAACCCUAGGGGUGGGGGCGCCCCACUUGGCUUGGGGGGGAAGCCACCCCCCUUCCCCCUUGGCCGCCGCCCCCCUUGGAGAUCUGAUCUCCCAGGGCCGGCGCCCCCCAGGGGUCCCUAUAUAUAGUGGGGGGGGGAGGGAGGGCAGCAGCACAACAGCCCCUGGCGCCUCCCUCUCCCCCUGCAACACCUCUCCGUCCCGUUUGUGCUUGGCGAAGCCCUGCCGGGAUCCCGCAACUUCCACCACCACGCCGUCGUGCUGCUGGAUCUCCAUCAACCUCUCCUUCCCCCUUGCUGGAUCAAGAAGGAGGAGACGUCGUUGCUCCGUACGUGUGUUGAACGCGGAGGUGCCGUCCGUUCGGCACUCGGUCAUCGGUGAUUUGGAUCACGGCGAGUACGACUCCAUCAACCCCGUUCAUUGGAACGCUUCCGCUCGCGAUCUACAAGGGUAUGUAGAUGCACUCCUUUCCCCUCGUUGCUAGUAUACUCCAUAGUUGGAUCUUGGUGAUGCGUAGGAAAUUUUAAAAUUCUGCUACGAUCCCCAACACUGAGGAGCGGAGAGAUCUAUGCAAGGGGCACCUCGCGAGGUUCCCAUGACGUGAGCCAUGACGACCGAAGCCAGGCGGGCGCCAACGGGCGCAGAGUACUCGUUGCCUCUUUAGUACUAAGGGGGUGAGCGCAGGCGAGGAGUCCCCAGGCAUCAUGCAAAGGUUUCCAUAUCGGUGCAACGAGACCAGGACCAUCAGGAUGGCAGGACGGAGGUCGCCGUGGAGCCCACGACGGCGUCACCACCAGAGCCUUUGGCAGGCGAAGACCAUCUUUUGUCAGGAUAACUUGUACUAGUUGUCUUCCUUCAAAUUGGCCAUUGUGGGAUUCUUUCCCGCCUAAUAUUUGGGAAGAGGAUCCGGGCCUCUAUAAGUAGGUGCUACCUCUUGAGCACUGCGUUGGUUUUCCCUUGAAGAGGAAAGGGUGAGCAGCAAAGGAGCGUAAGUAUUUCCCUCGGUUUUUGAGAACCAAGGUAUCAAUCUAGUAGGAGGCUAUGCGUGAGUCCCUCGCACCUACACAAAACUAAUAAAUCCUCGCAACCAACGCGAUAAGGGGUUGUCAAUCCCUACACGGUCACUUACGAGAGUGAGAUCUGAUAGAUAUGAUAGGAUAAUAUUUUUGGUAUUUUUAUGAUAAAGAUGCAAAGUAAAGAAAACAAAAUAAAAACAGCGCCAGAAAUAGCUUGUUGCCGGGAGAUUAAUAUUAUGGAAAACAGACCCGGGGGCCAUAGGUUUCACUAGUGGCUUCUCUCAAGAGCAUAAGUAUUUUACGGUGGGUGAACAAAUUACUGUUGAGCAAUUGACAGAAUUGAGCAUAGUUAUGAGAAUAUCUAGGUAUGAUCAUGUAUAUAGGCAUCACAUCCGAGACAAGUAGACCGACUCCUGCCUGCAUCUACUACUAUUACUCCACACAUCGACCGCUAUCCAGCAUGCAUCUAGAGUAUUAAGUCCAUAAGAACAGUGUAACGCCUUAAGCAAGAUGACAUGAUGUAGAGGGAUAAAUUCAUGCAAUAUGAUAAAAAAACCAUCUUGUUAUCCUCGAUGGCAACAAGACAAUACGUGCCUUGCUGCCCCUACUGUCACUGGGAAAGGACACCGCAAGAUUGAACCCAAAGCUAAGCACUUCUCCCAUUGCAAGAAAGAUCAAUCUAGUAGGCCAAACCAAAAUAAUAAUUCGAAGAGACUUGCAAAGAUAACCAAUCAUACAUAAAAGAAUUCAGAGAAGAUUCAAAUAUUGUUCAUAGGUAAACUUGAUCAUAAACCCACAAUUCAUUGGUCUCAACAAACACACCGCAAAAGAAUAUUACAUCGAAUAGAUCUCCACGAGAGAGGGGGAGAACAUUGUAUUGAGAUCCAAAAAGAGAGAAGAAGCCAUCUAGCUAAUAACUAUGGAUUUGAAGGUCUGAGGUAAACUACUCACACUUCAUCGGAGAGGCUGUGGUGUUGAUGUAGAAGCCCUCCGUGAUGGAUGCCCCCUCCGGCGGAGCUCCGAAACAGGCCUUAAGAUGGGAUCUCGUGGGUACAGAAGGUUGCAGCGGUGGAAUUAGGUUUUUGGCUCCGUAUCUGAUCGUUUGGGGGUACGUAGGUAUAUAUAGGAGGAAGGAGUACGUCGGUGGAGCAACGUGGGGCCCACGAGGGUGGAGGGCGUGCCCUGGGGGGGUAGGCGCGCCCCCUACCUUGUGGCUUCCUGCUUUGUUUCUUGACGUAGGGUCCAAGUCUCCUCGAUCAUGUUCGUUCCGAAAAUCACGUUCCCGAAGGUUUCAUUCCGUUUGGACUCCGUUUGAUAUUCUUUUUCUGCGAAACUCUGAAAUAGGCAAAAAACGGCAAUUCUGGGCUGGGCCUCCGGUUAAUAGGUUAGUCCCAAAAAUAAUAUAAAAGUGAAUAAUAAAGCCCAAUAAUGUCCAAAACAGAAGGUAAUAUAGCAUGGAGCAAUCAAAAAUUAUAGAUACGUUGGAGACGUAUCAAGCAUCCCCAAGCUUAAUUCCUGCUCGUCCUCGAGUAGGUAAAUGAUAAAAACAGAAUUUUUGAUGCGGAGUGCUACUAGGUAUAAUUUCAAUGUAAUUCUUCUUAAUUGUGGUAUGAAUAUUCAGAUCCGAAAGAUUCAAGACAAAAGUUCAAUAUUGACAUAAAAAUAAUAAUACUUCAAGCAUACUAACUAAGCAAUUAUGUCUUCUCAAAAUAACAUGGCCAAAGAAAGUUAUCCCUACAAAAUCAUAUAGUCCGGCUAUGCUCUAUCUUCACCACACAAAAUAUUUAAAUCAUGCACAACCCCGAUGACAAACCAAGCAAUUGUUUCAUACUUUUGACAUUCUCAAACUUUUUCAAUCUUCACGCAAUACAUGAGCGUGAGCCAUGGACAUAGCACUAUAUGUGGAAUAGAAUGGUGGUUGUGGAGAAGACAAAAAGGAGGGAGAAGAUAGUCUCACAUCAACUAGGCGUAUCAACGGGCUAUGGAGAUGCCCAUCAAUAGAUAUCGAUGUGAGUGAGUAGGGAUUGCCAUGCAACGGAUGCACUAGAGCUAUAAGUAUAUGAAAGCUCAACAAAAGAAACUAAGUGGGUGUGCAUCCAACUCACUUGCUCACGAAGACCUAGGGCAUUUUGAGGAAGCCCAUCAUUGGAAUAUACAAGCCAAGUUCUAUAAUGAAAAAUUCCCACUAGUAUAUGAAAGUGAUAUCAUAGGAGACUCCCUAUCAUGAACAUCAUGGUGCUACUUUGAAGCACAAGUGUGGUAAAAGGAUAGUAACAUUGUCCCUUCUCUCUUUUUCUCUCAUUUUUUUAUUUGGGCCUUUUCUCCUUUUUUAUGGCCUCUUUUUUUCGUCCGGAGUCUCAUCCCGACUUGUGGGGGAAUCAUAGUCUCCAUCAUCCUUUCCUCACUUGGGACAAUGCUCUAAAAAUGAUGAUCAUCACACUUUUAUUUUCUUACAACUCAACAAUUACAACUCAAUACUUAGAACAAAAUAUGACUCCAUGUGAAUGCCUCCGGCGGUGUACCGGGAUAUGCAAUGAAUCAAGAGCGACAUGUAUGAAAGAAUUAUGAACGGUGGCUUUGCCACAAAUACAAUGUCAACUACAUGAUCAUGCGAAGCAAUAUGACAAUGAUGGAGCGUGUCAUAGUAAACGGAACGGUGGUAAGUUGCAUGGCAAUAUAUCUCGGAAUGGCUAUGGAAAUGCCAUGAUAGGUGGGUAUGGUGGCUGUUUUGAGGAAGGUAUAUGGUGGGUGUAUGAUACCGGCGAAAAGUGCGCGGUAUUAGAGAGGCUAGCAAUGGUGGAAGGAAGAAGGGUGCGUAUAAUCCAUGGACUCAACAUUAGUCAUAAAGAACUCAUAUACUUAUUGCAAAAAUAUACAAGUUAUCAAAGCAAAGUAUUACGUGCAUGAUCCUAGGGGGAUAGAUUGGUAGGAAAAGACCAUCGCUCGUCCCCGACCGCCACUCAUAAGGAAGACAAUCAGCAAAUAAAUUAUGCUCCGACUUCAUCACAUAACGGUUCACCAUACGUGCAUGCUACGGGAAUCACAAACUUUAACACAAGUGUCUCUCAAAUUCACAGCUACUCAACUAGCAUGACUCUAAUAUCACCAUCUUUAUAUCUCAAAACAAUUAUCAAGCAUCAAACUUUUCUUAGUAUUCAACACACUCAUAAGAAAGUUUUUACUAAUCUUGAAUACCUAGCAUAUUAGGAUUAUUUAAGCAAAUUACCAUGCUAUUUAAGACUCACAAAAUGAUCUAAGUGAAGCAUGAGAGAUCAAUAGUUUCUAAAAAACAAAUCCACCACCAUGCUCUAAAAGAUCUAAGUGAAGUACUAGAGCAAAACUAUAUAACUCAAAAGAUAUAAGUGAAGCACAUAGAGUAUUCUAAUAAUUUCCGAAUCAUGUGUGUCUCUCUCAAAGGGUGUGUACAGCAAGGAUGAUUGUGGUAAACUAAAAAGAAAAGACUCAAAUCAUACAAAACGCUCCAAGCAAAACACGUAUCAUGUGGUGAAUAAAAAUAUAGCUCCAAGUAAAGUUACCGAUGGAAGUAGACGAAAGAGGGGAUGCCUUCCGGGGCAUCCCCAAGCUUUGGCUUUUUGGUGUCCUUAGAUUAUCUUGGGGGUGCCAUGGGCAUCCCCAAUAUUUAGGCUCUUGCCACUCCUUGUUCCAUAAUCCAUCAAAUCUUUCACCAAAACUUGAAAACUUCACAACACAAAACUUAUCAGAAAAUCUCCUGAGCUCCGUUAGCGAAAGAAAACAAAAGACCACUUCAAGGUACUGUAAUGAACUCAUUCUUUAUUUAUAUUGGUGUUAAACCUACUGUAUUCCAACUUAUCUAUGGUUUAUAAACUCUUUUACUAGCCAUAGAUUCAUCAAAAUAAGCAAACAACCCACAAAAAACAGAAUCUGUCAAAAACAGAACAGUCUGUAGUAAUCUGUAACUAACGCAAACUUCUGGAACUCCAAAAAAUCAGCCAAAAUAGGAAGACCUAGGAAUUUUUUUUAUUGAUCAGCAUCAAUUGGAAUCAGUAUUUUAUCAUGUUCUGGUGAUUUUUGACAAUUAUUUUCGUGAACAGAAAGUUUCUGGAAAUUACAGCAAGAUCAAAUAACUAUCAUCCAAGAAGAUCCUAUAGGUUUAACUUGGCACAAACACUAACUAAAACAUAAAAACACAUCUAUCCAGAGGCUAGAUCAAGUAUUUAUUGAAUAACAACAAGGAAAAAUAUUGGGUUGUCUCCCAACAAGCGCUUUUCUUUAAAGCCUUUUAGCUAGGCAUUGAUAAUUUUAAUGAUGCUCACAUGAAAGACAAGAAUUGAAGCACAAAGAGAGCAUCAUAAAACACGUGACAAACACAUCUAAGUCUAACAUACUUCCUAUGCAUAGGCAUCUUAUAGAAAAACAAAUUAUCAUAGCAAGCAAAAACUAGCAUAUGCAAGGAAGCGGAAAGGAACAAUAACAAUCUCAACAUAACGAGAGGUAAUUUAGUAACAUGAAAAUUUCUAUAACCAUAUUUUCCUCUCUCAUAAUAAUUACAUGUAGGAUCAUAAGAAAAUUUAAUAAUAUAGCUAUCACAUAACAUAUUCUCAACACGAUCCACAUGCAUGCGAAGUUGACACUCUUCCAAAAUAGUGGGAUUAUCAUUAACUAAAGUCAUGAUUUCUCCAAGCCCACUUUAUCAAAAAUUUCAUAAGAUUGAAUAUUAUCCAAAUAUGUGGGGAUCUAAAGUUGACACUCUUCCAAACCCACUUUCAAUAUUAUUGCAAACACUAUUAUCAAUCUUAUAUUCAUCAUGGGGCUUAAAUAAAUUUUCAAGAUCAUAAGAAGAAUCUCCCCAAUCAUGAUUAUUGCAACAGGUAGUGGACAUAGCAAAACUAGCAUCCCCAAGCUUAGGGUUUUGCAUAUUAUUAGCAUAAUUUACAUCCAUAGAAUUUAUAAUAAAAUCAUUGCAAUCAUGCUUUUUAUUCAAAGAUCUAUCGUGAAUCACUUCAUAAAGCACUUCAUCACAAUUUUCAGAUUCACGGAUUUCAAGCAAAAACUUAUAAAGAUAAUCUAGUGCAUCCAAAUCACUAGGAAUUGGUUCAACAUAAUUGAAUCUCUUAAAAGAUUGGCAAGCGGAUGAGGAUCCAUAGAUAUUAGCUUCUCUGUUUACGAAUAAAUACUCAACUAUUUCAACCAAACGUACAAACGGGCCAAGUAAUACGUCAAGGCAAACGAAAAGACGAACGGAAAAGAGAGGGCGAAUAAAACGACAAGGUGAAGUGGGGGAGAGGAAAACGAGAGGAAAAUGGCAAAUAAUAUAAUGCGCGAGAUAAGGGUUUGUGAUGGGUACUUAGUAUGUUGACUUUUGCGUAGACCUCCCCGGCAACGGCGCCAGAAAUCCUUCUUGCUACCUCUUGAGCAUUGCGUUGGUUUUCCCUUGAAGAGGAAAGGGUGAUGAAGCAAAGUAGCGUAAGUAUUUCCCUCAGUUUUUGAGAACCAAGGUAUCAAUCCAGUAGGAGGCUACACGCGAGUCCCUCGCACCUACACAAAACAAAUAAAUCCUCGCAACCAACGCGAUAAGGGGUUGUCAAUCCCUACACGGUCACUUACGAGAGUGAGAUCUGAUAGAUAUGAUAGGAUAAUAUUUUUGGUAUUUUUAUGAUAAAGAUGCAAAGUAAAGAAAACAAAAUAAAAACUGCGUCAGAAAUAGCUUGUUGUCGGGAGAUUAAUAUUAUGGAAAAUAGACCCGGGGGCCAUAGGUUUCACUAGUGGCUUCUCUCAAGAGCAUAAGUAUUUUACGGUGGGUGAACAAAUUACUGUUGAGCAAUUGACAGAAUUGAGCAUAGUUAUGAGAAUAUCUAGGUAUGAUCAUGUAUAUAGGCAUCACGUCCGAGACAAGUAGACCGACUCCUGCCUGCAUCUACUACUAUUACUCCACACAUCGACCGCUAUCCAGCAUGCAUCUAGAGUAUUAAGUUCAUAAGAACAGAGUAACGCCUUAAGCAAGAUGAUAUGAUGUAGAGGGAUAAAUUCAUGCAAUAUGAUAAAAAAACCCAUCUUGUUAUCCUCGAUGGCAACAAUACAAUACGUGCCUUGCUGCCCCUACUGUCACUGGGAAAGGACACCGCAAGAUUGAACCCAAAGCUAAGCACUUCUCCCAUUGCAAGAAAGAUCAAUCUAGUAGGCCAAACCAAACUGAUAAUUCGAAGAGACUUGCAAAGAUAACCAAUCAUACAUAAAAGAAUUCAGAGAAGAUUCAAAUAUUGUUCAUAGAUAAAAUUGAUCAUAAACCCACAAUUCAUCGGUCUCAACAAACACACCACAAAAGAAGAUUACAUCGAAUAGAUCUCCACGAGAGAGGGGGAGAACAUUGUAUUGAGAUCCAAAAAGAGAGAAGAAGCCAACAGUAAUUUGAUGUAGAAGUAAACUACUCACACUUCAUCGGAGAGGCUAUGGUGUUGAUGUAGAAGCCCUCCGUGAUGGAUGCCCCCUCCGGCGAAGCUCCGGAACAGGCCCCAAGAUGGGAUCUCGUGGGUACAGAAGGUUGCGGCGGUGGAAUUAGGUUUUUGGCUCCGUAUCUGAUCAUUUUGGGGUACGUAGGUAUAUAUAGGAGGAAGGAGUACGUCGGUGGAGCAACAUGGGGCCCACGAGGGUGGAGGGCGCGCCCUGGGGGGUAGGCGCUCCCCCCUACCUCGUGGCUUCCUGCUUUGUUUCUUGACGUAGGGUCCAAGUCUCCUGGAUCAUGUUCGUUCCGAAAAUCACGUUCCCGAAGGUUUCAUUCCGUUUGGACUCCGUUUGAUAUUCUUUUUCUACGAAACUCUGAAAUAGGCAAAAAACAGCAAUUCUGGGCUGGGCCUCCGGUUAAUAGGUUAGUCCCAAAAAUAAUAGAAAAGUGAAUAAUAAAGCCCAAUAAUGUCCAAAACAGAAGAUAAUAUAGCAUGGAGCAAUCAAAAAUUAUAGAUACGUUGGAGACGUGUCAGUAGGACUAGCCACACCAUAGUGAGGGACGAAUCAUUCAGACCAUCCUGAGCGCACGAGCUCAUCGAGCUUAAGAACACCUCCCCUCAGGAGGUUGUUCAUACCUUGUAUUGUUCAUCCUCAACCUACAAGGCAAUCCACCACACCACACUGGAGUAGGGUAUUACACCACAACGGUGGCCCGAACCAGUAUAAACCCUCGUGUCUCUUGUUCUUUGGGUUCGUCGAGUUAGGCCUUGAGAUCGUUGCGAGAGCGAGCGAGAGAGAGAGAGAGAGAGAGAGAUAUUCUUGCGCACCCCAGUGUUUGAACCUCAAGGGUUUGCCGGAACCCACAAUCCGAAAUUUAGCGCGCCAGGUAGGGGGCGCCGAAGCCUUUCUUUUGUCGAUCCGCGCUCCGCUGCUCCACCGGAUCCAUGGCUGAUGCUCGCCGAGCCCGUGCCGAGCGCCGUGCCGCCCUCGCCGCUCGCGUCGCUCAGACGGCGCCCGUCGGCGGGCCACCCCGCCGUUCUCCAUCGCCUGCUGCCAACGCGGCCACCGGCCCGGUAGGGAACGAGCAGCAAGCUUCGUCGCUGCACCCCUCUGUGCGGCGAGACGGACGCACCGCCACCACGUCGCUGACUCCGGACGGCUCGUCAUCUCACGCUCGUGGCACGCCCACGGACGCGUAGGCUGCGUUGCUCAUGGCACGUGAGCUCCUGCGCUACUGUCCAGUCGACGACCUCUACGACGACUGGCUCGACUGCAUCACCGAGCUCGUCAGCGCCGCUGGGGGCUCUCGUGCACCGUCCCCUUCGCUACCUCGACCACCACCAACAGCGGGCGACGUCGCCCAUGGAGCGCCUCCACCACCUCCGCAUCAAGACGCUGCCCUCGCACCAAGACGCGCGGUCCCGCGGCGUGACCCACCACGCCGGGCGCCCGCGCACGAAGAAGGAAGCUGCCAAGAAGUCCCUCGGCUGCAAGAAAAUGUUCCUGCGCUCCUAGCACCACAACGCCAAGACCACGUGCCGCUUGCCGCGGCGGCACGUGAUGGGGAACGUAGUAAUUUCAAAAAAAUUCCUACGCACACACACAUGAUCAUGGUGAUGCAUAGCAACGAGAGGGGAGAGUGUUGUCCAUGUACCCUCGUAGACCGAAAGCGGAAGCAUUAGCACAACGCGGUUGAUGUAGUCGUACGUCUUCACGAUCCAACCGAUCCAAGUACCGAACGUACGGCACCUCCGAGUUAAGCACGCGUUCAGCUCGAUGACGUCCCGCGAACUUCGAUCCAGCAGAGCUUCACAGGAGAGUGCCGUCAGCACGACGGCGUGGUGACGGUGAUGAUGUUGAUACCGACGCAGGGCUUCGCCUAAGCACCGCUACGAUAUGACCGAGUGGAAUAUGGUGGAGGGGGGCACCGCACACGGCUGGAAUAGAUCAAUCGAUCAACUUGUGUGUCUAGAGGUACCCCUGCCCCCGUAUAUAAAGGACCAGGAGGAGGAGGCGGCCGGCCAGGAGGAGGGCGCGCCAGGGAGGAGUCCUACUCCCACCGGGAGUAGGACUCGCUCUUUUCCUAGUUGGAGUGGGAGGGGAAAAGGAAGGGAAGGAGAGAGGAGGAAGGAAAGGGGGGCGCCGCCCCCCUCCUUGUCCAAUUCGGACUAGAGGGGGACGGGGCGCGCGGUCUGCCCUAGCCGCCCCUCCUCUUCUCCACUAAGGCCCAUCUUGGCCCAUUAAACUCCCCGGGGGGUUCCGGUAACCCCCCGGUACUCCGGUAUAUGUCCGAAACUCCCCGAAACCAUUCCGGUGUCCGAACAUAGUCGUCCAAUAUAUCGAUCUUUACGUCUCGACCAUUUCGAGACUCCUCAUCAUGUCCGUGAUCAUAUCCGGGACUCCGAACUACCUUCGGUACAUCAAAACACAAAACUCAUAAUACCGAUCGUCAUCUAACUUUAAGCGUGCGGACCCUACGGGUUCGAGAACUAUGUAGACAUGACCGAGACACGUCUCCGGUCAAUAGCCAAUAGCGGAACCUAGAUGCUCAUAUUGCCUCCUACAUAUUCUACGAAGAUCUUUAUCGGUCAAACCGCGUAAUAACAUACGUUGUUCCCUUUGUCAUCGGUAUGUUACUUGCCCGAGAUUCGAUCGUCGGUAUCUCAAUACCUAGUUCAAUCUCGUGACCGGCAAGUCUCUUUACUCAUUCCGUAAUACAUCAUCCCGCAACUAACUCAUUAGUUACAAUGCUUGCAAGGCUUAUGGUGAUGUGCAUUACCGAGUGGGCCCAGAGAUACCUCUCCGACAAUCAGAGUGACAAAUCCUAAUCUCGAAAUACGCCAACCCAACAAGUACCUUUGGAGACACCUGUAGAGCACCUUUAUAAUCACCCAGUUACGUUGUGAUGUUUGGUAGCACACAAAGUGUUCCUCCGGUAAACGGGAGUUGCAUAAUCUCAUAGUCAUAGGAACAUGUAUAAGUCAUGAGGAAAGCAAUAGCAACAUACUAAACGAUCAAGUGCUAAGCUAACGGAAUGGGUCAAGUCAAUCACAUCAUUCUCCUAAUGAUGUGAUCCCGUUAAUCAAAUGACAACUCAUGUCUAUGGCUAGGAAACAUAACCAUCUUUGAUCAACGAGCUAGUCUAGUAGAGGCAUACUAGUGACACUCUGUUUGUCUAUGUAUUCACACAUGUAUCAUGUUUCCGGUUAAUACAAUUCUAGCAUGAAUAAUAAACAUUUAUCAUGAUAUGAGGAAAUAAAUAAUAACUUUAUUAUUGCCUCUAGGGCAUAUUUCCUUCAGUCUCCCACUUGCACUAGAGUCUAUAAUCUAGAUUACACAGUAAUGAUUCUAACACCCAUGGAGUUUUGGUGCUGAUCAUGUUUUGCUAGGGGAAGCGGCUUAGUCAACGGGUCUGCAACAUUCAGAUCCAUAUGUAUCUUGCAAAUCUCUAUGUCUCCCACCUGGACUUGGUCCCAGAUGGAAUUGAAGCGUCUCUUGAUGUGCUUGCUCCUCUUAUGAAAUUUGGAUUCCUUUGCCAAGGCAAUUGCACCAGUAAUCUCACAGAAGAUUUUCAUUGGACCCGAUGCACUAGUUAUGACACGUAGAUCGGAUAUGAACUCCUUCAUCAAGACUCCUUCAUUUGCUACUUCCGAAGCAGCUAUGUACUCCGCUUCACACGUAGAUCUCGCCACGACGCUUUGUUUAGAACUGCACCAACUGACAGCUCCACCGUUCAAUGUAAACACGUAUCCGGUUUGUGAUUUAGAAUCGUUCGAAUCAGUGUCAAAGCUUGCAUCGACGUAACCAUUUACGACUAGCUCUUUGUCACCUCCAUAAACGAGAAACAUAUCCUUAGUCCUUUUCAGGUAUUUCAGGAUGUUCUUGACUGUUGUCCAGUGAUCCACUCCUGGAUUACUUUGGUACCUCCCUGCUAGGCUAAUAGCAAGACACACAUCAGGUCUGGUACACAGCAUUGCAUACAUGAUACAGCCUAUGGCUGAAGCAUAUGGAACAUCUUUCAUUUUCUCUCUAUCUUCUGCAGUGGUCGGGCAUUGAGUCUGACUCAACUUCACACCUUGUAACACAGGCAAGAACCCUUUCUUUGCUUGAUCCAUUUUGAACUUCUUCAAAACUUUAUCAAAGUAUGUGCUUUGUGAAAGUCCUAUCAAGCGUCUUGAUCUAUCUCUAUAGAUCUUGAUGCCUAAUAUGUAAGCAGCUUCACCGAGGUCUUUCAUUGAAAAACUCUUAUUCAAGUAUCCUUUUAUGCUAUCCAGAAAUUCUAUAUCAUUUCCAAUCAGCAAUAUGUCAUCCACAUAUAAUAUCAGAAAUGCUACAGAGCUCCCACUCACUUUCUUGUAAAUACAGGCUUCUCCAAAAGUCUGUAUAAAACCAUAUGCUUUGAUCGCACUAUCAAAGCGUUUAUUCCAACUCCGAGAGGCUUGCACCAGUCCAUAAAUGGAUCACUGGAGCUUGCACACUUUGUUAGCACCUUUUGGAUCGAUAAAACCUUCAGGUUGCAUCAUAUAUAACUCUUCUUCUAGAAAUCCAUUCAGGAAUGUAGUCUUUACAUCCAUUUGCCAAAUUUCAUAAUCAUAAAAUGCGGCAAUUGCUAACAUGAUUCGGACAGACUUAAGCAUCGCUACGGGUGAGAAAGUCUCAUCAUAGUCAAUCCCUUGAACUUGUCGAAAACCUUUCGCAACAAGUCGAGCUUUAUAGACAGUAACAUUACCAUCAGCGUCAGUCUUCUUCUUGAAGAUCCAUUUAUUCUCAAUGGCUUGCCGAUCAUCGGGCAAGUCAACCAAAGUCCACACUUUCUUCUCAUACAUGGAUCCCAUCUCAGAUUUCAUGGCCUCAAGCCAUUUUGCGGAAUCUGGGCUCAUCAUCGCUUCCUCAUAUUUCGUAGGUUCAUCAUGGUCUAGUAACAUGACCUCCAGAACAGGAUUACCAUACCACUCUGGUGCGGAUCUUACUCUGGUUGACCUACGAGGUUUGGUAGUAACUUGAUCUGAAGUUUCAUGAUCAAUAUCAUUAGCUUCCUCACUAAUUGGUGUAGCUGUCACAGGAACCGGUUUCUGUGAUGAACUACUUUCCAAUAAGGGAGCAGGUACAGUUACCUCAUCAAGUUCUACUUUCCUCCCACUCACUUCUUUCGAGAGAAACUCCUUCUCUAGAAAGGAUCCAAAUUUAGCAACAAAAGUCUUGCCUUCAGAUCUGUGAUAGAAGGUGUACCCAACAGUUUCCUUUGGGUAUCCUAUGAAGACACAUUUCUCCGAUUUGGGUUCGAGCUUAUCAGGUUGAAGCUUUUUCACAUAAGCAUCGCAGCCCCAAACUUUAAGAAACGACAACUUUGGUUUCUUGCCAAACCAUAGUUCAUAAGGCGUCGUCUCAACGGAUUUAGACGGUGCCCUAUUUAACGUGAAUGCAGCCGUCUCUAAAGCAUAACCCCAAAAUGAUAGCGGUAAAUCAGUAAGAGACAUCAUAGAUCGCACCAUAUCUAGUAAAGUAUGAUUACGACGUUCUGACACACCAUUACGCUGUGGUGUUCCGGGUGGCGUGAGUUGCGAAACUAUUCCGCAUUGUUUCAAAUGAAGACCAAACUCGUAACUCAAAUAUUCUCCUCCACGAUCAGAUCGUAGAAACUUUAUUUUCUUGUUACGAUGAUUUUCUACUUCACUCUGAAAUUCUUUGAACUUUUCAAAUGUUUCAGACUUAUGUUUCAUUAAGUAGAUAUACCCAUAUCUGCUCAAAUCAUCUGUGAAGGUGAGAAAAUAACGGUACCCGCCGCGAGCCUCAACAUUCAUUGGACCACAUACAUUAGUAUGUAUGAUUUCCAACAAAUCUGUUGCUCGCUCCAUAGUUCCGGAGAACGGCGUUUUAGUCAUCUUGCCCAUGAGGCAUGGUUCGCAAGUACCAAGUGAUUCCAAAAGUCCAUCAGUAUGGAGUUUCUUCAUCCGCUUUACACCAAUAUGACCUAAACGGCAGUGCCACAAAUAAGUUGCACUAUCAUUAUCAACUCUGCAUCUUUUGGCUUCUAUAUUAUGAAUAUGUGUAUCACUACUAUCAAGAUUCAACAAAAAUAGACCACUCUUCAAGGGUGCAUGACCAUAAAAGAUAUUACUCAUAUAAAUAGAACAACCAUUAUUCUCUGAUUUAAAUAAAUAACCGUCUCGCAUCAAACAAGAUCCAGAUAUAAUGUUCAUGCUCAACGCUGGCACCAAAUAACAAUUAUUUAGGUCUAAAACUAAUCCCGAAGGUAGAUGUAGAGGUAGCGUGCCGACCGCGAUCACAUCGACAUUGGAACCAUAUCCCACGCGCAUCGUCACCUCGUCCUUAGCCAAUCAUCGCUUAAUCCGUAGCCCCUGUUUCGAGUUGCAAAUAUUAGCAACAGAACCAGUAUCAAAUACCCAGGUGCUACUGCGAGCAUUAGUAAGGUACACAUCAAUAACAUGUAUAUCACAUAUACCUUUGUUCACCUUGCCAUACUUCUUAUCCGCCAAAUACUUGGGGCAGUUCCGCUUCCAGUGACCAGUUUGCUUGUAGUAGAAGCACUCAGUCUCAGGCUUAGGUCCAGACUUGGGUUUCUUCUCUUGAGCAGCAACUUGUUUGUUGUUCUUUUUGAAGUUCCCCUUCUUCUUCCCUUUGCCCUUUUUCUUGAAACUGGUGGUCUUGUUGACUAUCAACACUUGAUGCUCCUUCUUGAUUUCUACCUCCGCAGCCUUUAGCAUUGCGAAGAGCUCGGGAAUUGUCUUAUUCAUCCCUUGCAUGUUAUAGUUCAUCACGAAGCUCUUGUAGCUUGGUGGCAGUGACUGAAGAAUUCUGUCAAUAACACUAUCAUCCGGAAGAUUAACUCCCAGUUGAAUCAAGUGAUUGUUAUACCCAGACAUUCUGAGUAUAUGCUCACUGACAGAACUAUUCUCCUCCAUCUUGAAGCUGUAGAACUUAUUGGAGACUUCAUAUCUCUCAAUCCGGGCAUUUGCUUUAAAUAUUAACUUCAACUCCUGGAACAUCUCAUAUGCUCCAUGACGUUCAAAACGUCGUUGAAGUCCCGGUUCUAAGCCGUAAAGCAUGGCACACUGAACUAUGAAGUAGUCAUCAACUUUGCUCUGCCAGACGUUCAUAACAUCUGGUGUUGCUCCUGCAGCAGGUCUGGCACCUAGCGGUGCUUCCAGGACGUAAUUCUUCUGUGCAGCAAUGAGGAUAAUCCUCAAGUUACGGACCCAGUCCGUGUAAUUGCUACCAUCAUCUUUCAACUUUGCUUUCUCAAGGAACGCAUUAAAAUUCAACGGAACAACAGCACGGGCCAUCUAUCUACAACAACAUAGACAUGCAAAAUACUAUCAGGUACUAAGUUCAUGAUAAAUUAAAGUUCAGUUAAUCAAAUUAUUAAAGAACUCCCACUUAGAUAGACAUCCCUCUAAUCCUUUAAGUGAUCACGUGAUCCAUAUCAACUAAACCAUGUCCGAUCAUCACGUGAGAUGGAGUAGUUUCAAUGGUGAACAUCACUAUGUUGAUCAUAUCUACUAUAUGAUUCACGCUCAACCUUUCGGUCUCAGUGUUCCGAGGCCAUAUCUGCAUAUGCUAGGCUCGUCAAGUUUAACCUGAGUAUUCCGCGUGUGCAACUGUUUUGCACCCGUUGUAUUUGAACGUAGAGCUUAUCACACCUGAUCAUCAUGUGGUGUCUCAGCACGAAGAACUUUCGCAACGGUGCAUACUCAGGGAGAACACUUAUACAUUGAAAUUUAGUGAGAGAUCAUCUUAUAAUGCUACCGUCGAUCUAAGCAAAAUAAGAUGCAUAAAAGAUAAACAUCACAUGCAAUCAAUAUAAGUGAUAUGAUAUGGCCAUCAUCAUCUUGUGCUUGUGAUCUCCAUCUCCGAAGCACCGUCAUGAUCACCAUCGUCACCGGCGCGACACCUUGAUCUCCAUCGUAGCAUCGUUGUUGUCUCGCCAACUAUUUCUUUUAUGACUAUCGCUACCGCUUAGUGAUAAAGUAAAGCAAUUACAGGGCGAUUGCAUUGCAUACAAUAAAGUGACAACCAUAUGGCUCCUGCCAGUUGCCGAUAGCUUGGUUACAAAACAUGAUCAUCUCAUACAAUAAAAUAUAGCAUCAUGCCUUGACCAUAUCACAUCACAACAUGCCCUGCAAAACAAGUUAGACGUCCUCUACUUUGUUGUUGCAAGUUUUACGUGGCUGCUACGGGCUGAGCAAGAACCGUUCUUACCUACGCAUCAAAACCACAAUGAUAGUUCAUCAAGUUAGUGCUGUUUUAACCUUCUCAAGGACCGAGCGUAGCCACACUCGGUUCAACUAAAGUUCGAGAAACUGACACCCGCCAGCCACCUAUGUGCAAAGCACGUCGGUAGAACCAGUCUCGCGUAAGCGUACACAUAAUGUCGGUCCGGGCCGCUUCAUCCAACAAUACCGCCGAACCAAAGUAUGACAUGCUGGUAAGCAGUAUGACUUGUAUCGCCCACAACUCACUUUUGUUCUACUCGUGCAUAUAACAUCUACGCAUAAAACCAGGCUCGGAUGCCACUGCUGGGGAACGUAGUAAUUUCAAAAAAAUUCCUACGCACACACACAGGAUCAUGGUGAUGCAUAGCAACGAGAGGGGAGAGUGUUGUCCACGCACCCUCGUAGACUGAAAGCGGAAGCGUUAGCACAACGCGGUUGAUGUAGUCGUACGUCUUCAUGAUCCGACCGAUCCAAGUACCAAACCUACGGCACCUCCGAGUUCAGCACACGUUCAGCUCGAUGACGUCCCGCGAGCUCCGAUCCGGCAGAGCUUCACAGGAGAGUUCCGUCAGCACGACGACGUGGUGACAGUGAUGAUAUUGCUACCGACGCAGGGCUUCGCCUAAGCACCGCUACGAUAUGACCGAGGUGGAAUAUGGUGGAGGGGGGCACCGCACACGGCUGGAAUAGAUAAAUCGAUCAACUUGUGUGUCUAGAGGUGCCCCCUGCCCCCGUAUAUAAAGGACCAGGGGGAGGAGACGGCCGGCCAGGAGGAGGGUGCGCCAGGGAGGAGUCCUACUCCCAUUGGGAGUAGGACUCCCUCUUUUCCUAGUUGGAGUAGGAGGGGAAAAGGAAGGGAAGGAGAGAGGAGGAAGGAAAGGGGGCUGCCGCCCCACCCCCCUCCUUGUCCAAUUCGGACUUGAGGGGAGGGGCGCGCGGCCUGCCCUAGCCGCCCCUCCUCUUCUCCACUAAGGCCCAUCUUGGCCCAUUAAACUCCCCGGGGGGUUCCGGUAACCCCCCGGUACUCCGGUAUAUGUCCGAAACUCCCCGAAACCAUUCCGGUGUCCAAUCAUAGUCGUCCAAUAUAUCGAUCUUUACGUCUCGACCAUUUAGAGACUCCUCGUCAUGUCCGUGAUCAUAUCCGGGACUCCGAACUACCUUCAGUACAUCAAAACACAAAACUCAUAAUAACGAUCGUCAUCUAACUUUAAGCGUGCGGACCCUACGGGUUCGAGAACUAUGUAGACAUGACCGAGACACGUCUCCGGUCAAUAACCAAUAGCGGAACCUGGAUGCUCAUAUUGCCUCCUACAUAUUCUACGAAGAUCUUUAUCGGUCAAACCGCAUAACAACAUAUGUUGUUCCCUUUCUCAUUGGUAUGUUACUUGCCCGAGAUUCGAUCGUCGGUAUCUCAAUACCUAGUUCAAUCUCGUUACCGGCAAGUCUCUUUACUCGUUCCGUAAUACAUCAUCCCGCAACUAACUCAUUAGUUAGAAUGCUUGCAAGGCUUAUAGUGAUGUGCAUUACCGAGUGGGCCCAGAGAUACCUCUCCGACAAUCGGAGUGACAAAUCCUAAUCUCAAAAUACGCCAACCCAACAAGUACCUUUGGAGACACCUGUAGAGCACCUUUACAAUCACCUAGUUACGUUGUGACGUUUGGUAGCACACAAAGUGUUCCUCCGAUAAACGGGAGUUGCAUAAUCUCAUAGUCAUAGGAACAUGUAUAAGUCAUGAGGAAAGCAAUAGCAACGUACUAAACGAUCAAGUGCUAAGCUAACGGAAUGGGUCAAGUCAAUCACAUCAUUCUCCUAAUGAUGUGAUCCCGUUAAUCAAAUGACAACUCAUGUCUAUGGCUAGGAAACAUAACCAUCUUUGAUCAACGAGCUAGUCUAGUAGAGGUAUACUAGUGACACUCUGUUUUUCUAUGUAUUCACACAUGUAUCAUGUUUCCGGUUAAUACAAUUCUAGCAUGAAUAAUAAACAUUUAUCAUGAUAUGAGGAAAUACAUAAUAACUUUAUUAUUGCCUCUAGGGCAUAUUUCCUUCAGCGCGUGGGUAUCAAGACCAGGCCCCGCCUCCGCGACGGGCUCGGGUGACCACAGCAGGUUGCCAUGCCUUCACUCCCGAUCUGCGUAGUGUCGUCUGGCCUGGCAAGUUCAAGCCGGACCUGCCUCCGCGCUACGACGGCACCCCCGACCCCACAGAGUUCCUGCAGCUCUAUGAGCUAAGCAUCGAGGCGGCCAACGGCGAAGAGAAGGUCAUGGCGAAUUGGUUCCCUAUGGCCCUCAAGGAUGGCGCGCGCUCAUGGCUCCUGAACCUGCCCGCGGGAUCGAUCUCCUCCUGGGGCGAGAUGCGCGAGAGUUUCGUCGCCAACUUCCAGGGCACUCGCGACUGCCCGCUGGCCGCAGGUGACUUACGGCGCAUCAAGCAGCAGCCAGGGGAAACCCUGCAGAAGUACAUCCAUCGCUUCAACAUCGUUCGCCUCAAGAUCCCCAAGGUGACGGACGAGGCCAUUAUCUCCGUGUUUUUCGAGGGCGUUUGCGACGUCAAGAUGAAGGAAGAGCUCGCCAUCCACGUGGAGAUGUGCACGGCCCUGGAGAUGUUUAACAUGGCGACCAAGUGCACGAGAGCUGAGGAAGGGCGCAUUUCCCUCCUCGAGCUCCCCGCUGCCGACCAGGAGGACAAGAAGGCCAAGAUCAAGGACGUGAAACGCAAGGAGGCUGCCGUGCUCGCGGCAGAGCCAGAGAUGAAGCGUGGCCGCGACCACCCCGAGUCGUCCAAGGCCAACCACCCUUUCUGCGCCUUCCACAACAUUCACAGCCACAACACUAGCGACUGUCAGGAGCUCAGGGCCAUCUGCGAUGGGCGUUUCGGUCGACGCCCCGAGCGCAACGACCGGGGCUAUGGCCGAGGAGGAGGAUGAAGUGGGGGACGCUAGGAUGACCGCGGCCCCCGCCAGGAGUGGCGUGACCGGCCUCCGGAGGACCGCUGGCAGGACCAACCUCACGAGGGCGCCUGGAGUGACCAGCCUCGUGAGGACCGCCCUCAGGGCAACGCCGGGCUCCCUCUGCUGCCGCCGCCGCCAAGGAGGAACGACGACCAUCAUCAGGACGAGGGGGAUGGGGGCUUCCAAGAGCCUCGCGCCAUCGCCUGCAUCUUGGGUGGCGCUCAAGCCCCAGCCUCUCAGCGUAUCUUCAAGCAGUUUGCUCGUGAGGUGAACGCGGCUCUUCCCAGGCUCGAAGCCACGUGCCCACUCAGGUGGUCCAAGUGCGCAAUCACCUUCAGCUCAUCAGACCAGCUCAAGUGCGCGACAACAGCCGGCGCCCUCCGAUGCUCUGCUCACCCGUCAUCAGCAACGUCCAAGUCACCAAGACCCUCAUCGACGGCGGCGCAGGGCUCAAUGUCCUGUCCGUCGAGAUGUUCGACAGCCUUCAAGUGCCAUAUGAUCAGCUGCAGCCUACCAAGCCCUUCUCAGGAGUGACCGACGGCUCCACCACCACGAUAGGGCAGGUCCGCCUUCCGGUCACCAUCGGCCAGCAUGACAACUACCGCACCGAGCUCAUUGACUUCGACGUUGCCCACAUCCACCUGCCGUACAAUGCCAUCCUUGUUGGGUAACGUAGUAAUUUCAAAAAAAUUCCUACGCACACGCAAGAUCAUGGUGAUGCAUAGCAAUGAGAGGGGAGAGUGUUGUCCACGUACCCUCGUAGACCGAAAGCGGAAGCGUUAACACAACGCGGUUGAUCUAGUCGUACGUCUUCACGAUCCGACCGAUCAAGUACCGAACGCACGGCACCUCCGAGUUCAGCACACGUUCAGCUCGAUGAUGUCCCUCGAACUCCGAUCCAGCCGAGUGUUGAGGGAGAGUUUCGUCAGCACGACGGCGUGGUGACAAUGAUGAUGUUCUACCGACGCAGGGCUUCGCCUAAGCACCGCUACGAUAUUAUCGAGGUGUAAUAUGGUGGAGGGGGGCACCGCACACGGCUAAGAGAUCAAUGAUCAAUUGUUGUGUCUAUGGGGUGCCCCCCUACCCCCGUAUAUAAAGGAGCAAGGGGGAGGCCGCCGGCCAAGGAGGAGGGCGCGCCAAGGGGGGAGUCCUACUCCCACCGGGAGUAGGACUCCUCCUUUCCUUGUUGGAAUAGGAGAAGGGAAGGGAGAAGGAGAAAGAAGGAAGAGGGCGCCCCCUCCCUAGUCCAAUUCGGACUAGUCCAUGGGGAGGGAUGCGGCCACCCUUUGGGGCUUUUCUCUCCUUUCCCCUAUGGCCCAUUAAGGCCCAAUACGAAUUCCCGUAACUCUCCGGUACUCCGAAAAAUACCCGAAUCACUCGGAACCUUUCCGAAGUCCGAAUAUAGUCGUCCAAUAUAUUGAUCUUUACGUCUCGGCCAUUUCGAGACUCCUCGUCAUGUCCCUGAUCUCAUCCGGGACUCCGAACUCCUUCGGUACAUCGAAACACAUAAACUCAUAAUAUAACCGUCAUCGUAACGUUAAGCGUGCGGACCCUACGGGUUCGAGAACUAUGUAGAAAUGACCGAGACACCUCUCCGGUCAAUAACCAAUAGCGGAACCUGGAUGCUCAUAUUGGCUCCCACAUAUUCUACGAAGAUCUUUAUCGGUCAGACCGCAUAACAACAUACGUUGUUCCUUUUGUCAUCGGUAUGUUACUUGCCCGAGAUUCGAUCGUCGGUAUCUCAAUACCUAGUUCAAUACUUGAAGUGGUCUCGUCAACCAUCAACACUUGAUGUUUUUCUUGAUUCCUACCUUCGUCGAUUUCAGCAUCACGAAGAGCUCAGGAAUUACUUUCGUCAUCCCUUGCAUACCAUAGUUCAUCACGAAGUUCUACUAACUUGGUGAUGGUGACUAGAGAAUUCUGUCAAUCACUAUUUUAUCUGGAAGAUAAACUCCCACUUGAUUCAAGCGAUUGUAGUACCCAGACAAUCUGAGCACAUGCUCACUAGUGGAGCGAUUCUCCUCCAUCUUUUUGCUAUAGAACUUGUUGGAGAUUUCAUAUCUCUCAACUCGGGUAUUUGCUUGAAAUAUUAACUUCAACUCCUGGAACAUCUCAUAUGGUCCAUGACGUUCAAAACGUCUUUGAAGUCCAGAUUCUAAGCCGUUAAGCAUGGUGCACUAAACUAUCAAGUAGUCAUCAUAUUGAGCUAGCCAAACGUUCAUAACGUCUGCAUCUGCUCCUGCAAUAGAUCUGUCACCUAGCGGUGCAUCAAGGACAUAAUUUUUCUGUGCAGCAAUGAGGAUAAUCCUCAGAUCACGGAUCCAAUCCGCAUCUUUGCUACUAACAUCUUUCAACAUAAUUUUUCUCUAGGAACAAAAAAUAAACACAGGGAAGCAACAACGCGAGCUAUUGAGCUACAACAUAAUUUGCAAAAUACUAUCAGGACUAAGUUCAUGAUAAAUUUAAGUUCAAUUAAUCAUAUUACUUAAGAACUCCCACUUAGAUAGACAUCUCUCUAAUCAUCUAAGUGAUUACGUGAUCCAAAGCAACGACGUAACCUUUUACGACGAGCCUUAGAGUCAUCUAGAUUAGUGUCAAAACUUGCAUCGACGUAACCUUUUACGACGAGCCUUUUGUCACUUCCAUAAUCGAGAAACAUAUCCUUAUUCCAGUAAGGAUAAUUUUGACCGCUGUCCAGUGAUCUACUCCUAGAUCACUAUUGUACUCCCUUGCCAAAAUCAGUGUAGGGUAUACAAUAGAUCUGGUACACAGCAUGACAUACUUUAUAGAACCUAUGGCCAAGGCAUAGGGAAUGACUUUCAUUCUCUUUCUAUCUUUUGCCGUGGUCGGGCUUUGAGUCUUUACUCAAUUUCACACCUUGUAACACAGGAAAGAACUCUUUUCUUUGACUAUUCUAUUUUGAACUACUUCAAAAUCUUGUUAAGGUAUGUACUCAUUGAAAAACUUAUCAAGCGUCUUCAUCUAUCUCUAUAGAUCUUGAUGCUCAAUAUGUAAGCAGCUUCACCGAGGUCUAUCUUUGAAAAACUCCUUUCAAACACUCCUUUAUGCUUUGCAGAAUAAUUCUACAUUAUUUCUGAUCAACAAUAUGUCAUUCACAUAUACUUAUCAGAAAUGCUGUAGUGCUCCCACUCACUUUCUUGUAAAUACAGGCUUCACCGCAAGUCUGUAUACAACUAUAUGCUUUGAUCAACUUAUCAAAGCGCAUAUUCCAACUCCGAGAUGCUUGCACCAGUCCAUUGAUGGAUCGCUGGAGCUUGCAUAUUUUGUUAGCACCUUUAGGAUUGACAAAACCUUCUGGUUGUAUCAUAUACAAUUCUUCUUUAAUAAAUCCAUCAAGGAAUGCAGUUUUGUUUAUCCCUUUGCCAGAUUUCAUAAAAUGCGGCAAUUGCUAACAUGAUUCGGACAGAUUUAAGCAUAGAUACGAGUGAGAAACUCUCAUCGUAGUCAACAUCUUGAACUUGUCGAAAACCUUUUUGCGAUAAUUCUAGCUUUGUAGAUAGUGAUACUACUAUUAGCGUCCGUCUUCCUCUUGACAAUCCAUUUAUUCUCAAUUGCUUGCCGAUCAUCGGGCAAGUCAACCAAAGUCCACACUUUGUUCUCAUACAUGGAUCUCAUCUCAGAUUUCAUGGCCUCAAGCCAUUUUGCGGAAUCUGGGCUCACCAUCGCUUCUUCAUAGUUUGUAGGUUCGUCAUGGUCUAGUAACAUAACCUCCAGAACAGGAUUACCGUACCAUUCUGGUGCGGAUCUCGCUCUGGUUUACCUACGAGGUUUGGUAGUAACUUGAUCUGAAGUUACAUGAUCAUCAUCAUUAACUUCCUCACUAAUUGGUGUAGGAGUCACUGGAACAGAUUUCUGUGAUGAACUACUUUCCAAUAAGGGAGCAGGUACAGUUACCUCAUCAAGUUCUACUUUCCUCCCACUCACUUCUUUCGAGAGAAACUCCUUCUCUAGAAAGGAUCCAUUCUUAGCAACGAAUGUCUUGCCUUCGGAUCUGUGAUAGAAGGUGUACCCAACGGUCUCCUUUGGGUAUCCUAUGAAGACACAUUUCUCCGAUUUGGGUUUGAGCUUAUCAGGAUGAAACCUUUUCACAUAAGCAUCGCAACCCCAAACUUUAAGAAACGACAACUUUGGUUUCUUGCCAAACCACAGUUCAUAAGAUGUCAUCUCAACGGAUUUAGAUGGUACCCUAUUUAACGUGAAUGCAGCUGUCUCUAAUGCAUAACCCCAAAACGAUAGUGGUAGAUCGGUAAGAGACAUCAUAUAUCGCACCAUAUCUAAUAAAGUACGGUUACGAUGUUCGGACACACCAUUACACCGUGGUGUUCUAGGUGGCGUGAGUAGUGAAACUAUUUCGCAUUGUUUUAAUUGAAGGCCAAACUCGUAACUCAAAUACUCUUCUCCACGAUCAGAUCGUAGAAACUUUAUUUUCUUGUUACGAUGAUUUUCCACUUCACCCUGAAAUUAUAUGAACUUUUCAAAUGUUUCAGACUUCUGUUUCAUCAAGUAGAUAUACCCAUAUCUGCUCAAAUCAUCUGUGAAGGUCGGAAAAUAAUGAUACCUGCUACGAGCCUCAAUAUUCAUCGGACCACAUACAUCUGUAUGUAUGAUUUCCAACAAAUCUGUUGCUCUCUCCAUAGUUCCGGAGAACGGCGUUUUAGUCAUCUUGCCCAUGAGGCACGGUUCGCACGCAUCAAGUGAUUCAUAAUCAAGUGAUUCCAAAAUCCCAUUAGUAUGGAGUUUCUUCAUGCGCUUUACACCAAUAUGACCUAAACGGCAGUGCCACAAAUAAGUUGCAAUAUCAUUAUUAACUUUGCAUCUUUUGGCUUCAUUAUUAUGAAUAUGUGUAUCACUACGAUCGAGAUCCAACAAACCAUUUUAUUGGGUGUAUGACCAUAGAAGGUUUUAUUCAUGUAAACAUAACAACAAUUAUUCUCUAAUUUAAAUGAAUAACCGUAUUGCAACAAACAUGAUCAAAUCAUAUUCAUGCUCAACGCAAACACCAAAUAACACUUAUUUAGUUUCCACACUAAUCCCGAAAGUAUAGGGAGUGUGCGAUGAUGAUCAUAUCAAUCUUGGAACUACUUCCAACACACAUCGUCACCUCGCCUUUUACUAGUCUUUGUUUAUUCUGCAACUCCCGUUUCGAGUUACUACUCUUAGCAACUGAACCAGUAUCAAAUACCGAGGGGUUGCUAUAAACACUAGUAAAGUACACAUCAAUAACAUGUAUAUCCAAUAUACCUUUGUUCACUUUUCCAUCCUUCUUAUCCACCAAAUAGUUGGGGUAGUUCCGCUUCCAGUGACCAGUCCCUUUGCAGUAGAAGCACUUAGUCUCAGGCUUAGGACCAGACUUAGGCUUCUUCACUUGAGCAGCAACUUGCUUGCCGUUCUUCUUGAAGUUCCCCUUCUUCCCUUUGCCCUUUUCUUGAAACUAGUGGUCUCGUCAACCAUCAACACUUGAUGUUUUUCUUGAUAUCUACCUUCGCCGAUUUCAGCAUCACGAAGAGCUCGGGAAUUACUUUCGUCAUCCCUUGCAUACUAUAGUUCAUCACGAAGUUCUACUAACUUGGUGAUGGUGACUAGAGAAUUCUGUCAAUCACUAUUUUAUCUGGAAGAGUAACUCCUACUUGAUUCAAGCGAUUGUAGUACCCAGACAAUCUGAGCACAUGCUCACUCCUUGAGCUAUUCUCCUCCAUCUUUUAGCUAUAGAACUUGUUGGAGACUUCAUAUCUCUCAACUCGGGUAUUUGCUUGAAAUAUUAACUUCAACUCCUGGAACAUCUCAUAUGGUCCAUGACGUUCAAAAUGUCUUUGAAGUCCCGAUUCUAAGCCGUUAAGUAUGGUGCACUAAACUAUCAAGUAGUCAUCAUAUUGAGCUAGCCAAACGUUCAUAACGUCUGCAUCUGCUCCUGCAAUAGGUCUGUCACCUAGCGGGUGCAUCAAGGACAUAAUUUUUCUGUGCAGCAAUGAGGAUAAUCCUCAGAUCACGGAUCCAAUCCGCAUCUUUGCUACUAACAUCUUUCAACAUAAUUUUUCUCUAGGAACAUAUCAAAAAUAAACACAGGGAAGCAACAAUGCGAGCUAUUGAUCUACAACAUAAUUUGCAAAAUACUAUCAGGACUAAGUUCAUGAUAAAUUUAAGUUCAAUUAAUCAUAUUACUUAAGAAUUCCCACUUAGAUAGACAUCCCUCUAAUCAUCUAAGUGAUUACGUGAUCCAAAUCAACUAAACCAUGUCCGAUCAUCACGUGAGAUGGAGUAGUUUCAAUGGUGAACAUCACUAUGUUGAUCAUAUCUACUAUAUGAUUCACGCUCGACCUUUCGGUCUCCGUGUUCCGAGGCCAUAUCUGCAUAUGCUAGGCUCGUCAAGUUUAACCUGAGUAUUCCGCGUGUGCAACUGUUUUGCACCCGUUGUAUUUGAACGUAGAGCCUAUCACACCCGAUCAUCACGUGGUGUCUCAGCACGAAGAACUUUCGCAACGGUGCAUACUCAGGGAGAACACUUUUAUCUUGAUAUUUUAGUGAGAGAUCAUCUUAUAAUGCUACCGUCAAUCAAAGCAAGAUAAGAUGCAUAAAAGGUAAACAUCACAUGCAAUCAAUAUAAGUGAUAUGAUAUGGCCAUCAUCAUCUUGUGCUUGUGAUCUCCAUCUCCGAAGCACCGUCAUGAUCACCAUCGUCACCGGCGUGACAUCUUGAUCUCCAUCAUAGUAUCGUUGUCGUCUCGCCAACUAUUGCUUUUACGACUAUCGCUACCGCUUAGUGAUAAAGUAAAACAAUUACAUGGCGAUUGCAUUGCAUACAAUAAAGCGACAACCAUAUGGCUCCUGCCAGUUGCCGAUAACUCGGUUACAAAACAUGAUCAUCUCAUACAAUAAAAUAUAGCAUCAUGUCUUGACCAUAUCACAUCACAACAUGCCCUGCAAAAACAAGUUAGACGUCCUCUACUUUGUUGUUGCAAGUUUUACGUGGCUGCUACGGGCUUAGCAAGAACCGUUCUUACCUAUGCAUCAAAACCACAACGAUAGUUUGUCAAGUUGGUGCUGUUUUAACCUUCGCAAGGACCGGGCGUAGCCACACUCGGUUCAACUAAAGUGAGAGAGACAGACACCCGCCAGUCACCUUUAAGCAACGAGUGCUCGCAACGGUGAAACCAAUCUUGCGUAAGCGUAUGCGUAAUGUCGGUCCGGGCAGCUUCAUCUCACAAUACCGCUGAACCAAAGUAUGACAUGCUGGUAAGCAGUAUGCCCACAACUCACUUGUGUUCUACUCGUGCAUGACAUCAACGCAUAAAACCAGGCUCGGAUGCCACUGUUGGGUAACGUAGUAAUUUCCAAAAAUUUCCUACGCACACGUAAGAUCAUGGUGAUGCAUAGCAAUGAGAGGGGAGAGUGUUGUCCACGUACCCUCGUAGACCGAAAGCGGAAGCGUUAACACAACGCGGUUGAUGUAGUCGUACGUCUUCACGAUCCGACCGAUCAAGUACCGAACGCACGGCACCUCCGAGUUCAGCACACGUUCAGCUCGAUGACGUCCCUCGAACUCCGAUCCAGCCGAGUGUUGAGGGAGAGUUUCGUCAGCACGACGGCGUGGUGACAAUGAUGAUGUUCUACCGGCGCAGGGCUUCGCCUAAGCACCGCUACGAUAUUAUCGAGGUGUAAUAUGGUGGAGGGGGGCACCGCACACGGCUAAGAGAUCAAUGAUCAAUUGUUGUGUUUAUGGGGUGCCCCCCUGCCCCCGUAUAUAAAGGAGCAAGGGGGAGGCCGCCGGCCGAGGAGGAGGGCGCGCCAAGGGGGGAGUCCUACUCCCACUGGGAGUAGGACUCCUCCUUUCCUUGUUGGAAUAGGAGAAGGGAAGGGAGAAGGAGAAAGAAGGAAGGCCCCCCCUCCCUAGUCCAAUUCGGACUAGUCCAUGGGGAGGGGUGCGGCCACCCUUUGGGGCCUUUCUCUCCUUUCCCCUAUGGCCCAUUAAGGCCCAAUACGAAUUCCCGUAACUCUCCGGUACUCCGAAAAAUACCCGAAUCACUCGGAACCUUUCCGAAGUCCAAAUAUAGUCGUACAAUAUAUCGAUCCUUACGUCUCGGCCAUUUCGAGACUCCUCGUCAUGUCCCCGAUCUCAUCCAGGACUCCGAACUCCUUCGGUACAUCAAAACACAUAAACUCAUAAUAUAACCGUCAUCGUAACGUUAAGCGUGCGGACCCUACGGGUUCGAGAACUAUGUAGAAAUGACCGAGACACCUCUCCGGUCAAUAACCAAUAGCGGAACCUGGAUGCUCAUAUUGGCUCCCACAUAUUCUACGAAGAUCUUUAUCGGUCAGACCGCAUAACAACAUACGUUGUUCCCUUUGUCAUCGGUAUGUUACUUGCCCGAGAUUCGAUCGUCGGUAUCUCAAUACCUAGUUCAAUCUCGUUACCGGCAAGUCUCUUUACUCGGUCCGUAAUACAUCAUCCCGCAACUAGCUCAUUAGUUGCAAUGCUUGCAAGGCUUAUAGUGAUGUGCAUUACCGAGUGGGCCCAGAGAUACCUCUCCGACAAUCGGAGUGACAAAUCCUAAUCUCGAAAUACGCCAACCCAACAAGUACCUUCGGAGACACCUGUAGAGCACCUUUAUAAUCAACCAGUUACGUUGUGACGUUUGGUAGCACACAAAGUGUUCCUCCGGUAAACGGGAGUUGCAUAAUCUCAUAGUCAUAGGAACAUGUAUAAGUCAUGAAGAAAGCAAUAGCAACAUACUAAACGAUCGAGUGCUAAGCUAACGGAAUGGGUCAAGUCAAUCACAUCAUUCUCCUAAUGAUGUGAUCCCGUUAAUCAAAUGACAACUCAUGUCUAUGGCUAGGAAACAUAACCAUCUUUGAUCAACGAGCUAGUCAAGUAGAGGCAUACUAGUGACACUCUGUUUGUCUAUGUAUUCACACAUGUAUCAUGUUUCCGGUUAAUACAAUUCUAGCAUGAAUAAUAAACAUUUAUCAUGAUAUAAGGAAAUAAAUAAUAACUUUAUUAUUGCCUCUAGGGCAUAUUUCCUUCAAUCCUUGGGUACCCAGCCUUGGCCAAGUUUAUGGCAGUCACCCACCACGGCUACAACGUCCUCAAGAUGCCAGGGAGUGGCGGCAUCAUCACGGUUCCAUGUGAAGAAAGAGAUGCGGUGUGCUCCCUCGAGCGCGCCUACCAGGCUGCAACAGUCAAAGACCCCGACAAUGAAGGCACCACGUACCCUCCUGAGGCCAUCCCCAAGAAGAAGAAGCAGCUACUCCACCCAGUGCCGAAGGAGAGCGGUGUCUCCAGCGGCACAACCUCAGGACCCGCGCCCGCAGCUAGGGCGCCUCCCUCCCUCGCAUAGGAAGGCGCACCCGACACCCUCCUCAGGCUGGGCUCGGGGGCUCUCUUCUGGAGGGCCUCAGACCUAGCUAACGUCACGAGGGAGGCGCUCGGGCACCACGUGGAAGCAUGCUUCGCCGCAUGUUUCCCUCAAGAGGGCACGAGGCGUGGGGUUCCUAGUGCUCUGGAGUUCAUCGCGACGGUUCUCCAGGAGCCACCAGGGCCCGCGGAGCCUCCCGAGGCUCAGGACCCUGGCGGCUCGUGAGGAACGACUCUUCGGCAUGCAUCUUCGGCUACUCCAACAUCACUCCGGUGGUGUUAUCAGGUGACUCUUUCCAGUUCAUUCAGUUGGGGGCGCCCCUCGGGCAACAUUAUCCCCAAGCCGCACGGGUCUGUCCUUGCGAUGUGUAUCCUUUUGCAUCUUUAGCUUACUCUGCUGGGAGCGUCCCUCGGGCUGCAUCUUCCCCAGGCCACUCGGGUCCGUCCCAGUGGCAUGUAUCAUUCUUGCAUCUACCUAAGGUGACUUGCCUCUUUGCCUAAGCCAUUUCAUGGUUAUCACCUGCUUAUCUGGUACUUCGAUACCCACCCGCGACCGCCCUCGUUACCAUGGGAACCGCGCACUGAUUGUCUUUCUUUAGGAUUCCUCGCAUGAGUAGGCUUGGCACGGCAUCUAUGCUCGGGUCUGUCCCUGCAGCGUCGAUAAACCCAACGACUGAGCUCUGUCUGGCGGGCCGGCCCCAUUCACGUCACCUCAUUGGGUCGUUGGUGUCUGGCCUUCUCAUGGGAUCGCCUCAGGAAAUUCGUCCGGCCCAGGUUGCCUAACCAUCUCACAGGACCACUAAAGCUAUCAAGAACCAAGACUAGGCGCAACCCGCCUUGAGGUAGGGCCUCGUGAGUCCCGCGCUGGCUCACGAGUGCCCAGACACACUGUCACGCCCAAGAUGCGACCCUAUCCUAAAGGAACUCGACGGUCCCACCAAGGAUAGAAGCGCAUCUUGAAGACGCUUUUGCAAGGUGGAUAUCAUUACAUCAACAUUACAUAAUAUUUGGGGAUACAUACAAGGCAUACCAAUGCCGCAAGAAUACAUCAAUACCACAUACAUAAGAUCAACAUCCGACUACGGAUGAAACAUAAACAGAAACUCAAACGACAUCCACCCUGCUAGCCCAGGCUGCCGACCUGGAACCUAUCUCCUGGACGAAGAAGAAGCAGAAGAAGAACUCCAAAACAAGUAACAUCGCUCUCGCGUCAUGAUCAUCGCAAAACCUGUACCUGCAACUGGUGGUGUAGUAAUCUGUGAGCCACGAGGACUCAGCAAUCCCAUUACCAUGGGUAUCAAGACUAGCAAAGCUUAAAGGGAAAGGAAGGGGUAAAGUUGGUGAGGUUGCAGCAGCGACUAAGCAAGUAUGGUGGCUAACUUACGCAAAGAAGAGCGAGAAGAGAAACAACGGAACGGUCGUGAAACUAGCAAUGAUCAAGAAGUGAUCCUGAACUCCUACUUACGUCAAGCAUAACCCAAGAAACCAUGUUCACCUCCCGGACUCCGCCGAGAAGAGACCAUCACGGCUACACACGCGGUUGAUGCGUUUUAAUUAAGGUCAAGUGUCAAGUUAUCUACAACCGGAUAUUAACAAAUUCCCAUCUGCCACAUAACCGCGGGCACGGCUUCCGAAAGAUAAUACCCUGCAGGGGUGUCCCAACUUAGCCCAUGAUAAGCUCUCACGGUCAAUGAAGGAUAUUCCUUCUCCCGGGAAGACCCGAUCAGUCUCGGAAUCCCGGUUACAAGACAUUUCGACAAUGGUAAAACAAGACCAGCAAAGCCGCCCGAAUGUGCCGACAAAUCCUGAUAGGAGCUGCACAUAUCUCGUUCUCAGGGCACACCGGAUUGUCCAAGCUUCCGAUAGGCCAGCCCAGAGUUGCCCCUGGUGGCCACCGGCGACUGACAGGUUGGACAAACACUCGGAGGAGCACUGGCCCGGGGGGGUAAAUAAAGAUGACCCUCGAGAGCGCGACUCCCAAGGGAAAAGAAAUAGGCUGAGCAAAUGGUAAAACCAAGGUUGGGCCUUGCUGGAAGAGUUUUAUUCAAGGCGAACUGUCAAGGGGGUCCCAUAAAUCACCCAACCGUGUAAGGAACGCAAAAUCCGGGAACAUAACACCGGUAUGAUGGAAACUAGGGCGGCAAGAGUGGAACAAAACACCAGGCAUAAGGCCGAGCCUUCCACCCUUUACCAAGUAUAUAGAUGCAUUAAUAAUAUAUAAGAGAUAUUGUGAUGUCCCAACAUAAACAUAAUCCAACAUGGAGCAAUCUUCAUCUUCACCUGCAACUAGCAACGCUAUAAGAGGGGCUGAGCAAAGCGGUAACAUAGCCAAACAACGGUUUGCUAGGAAGGGUGACAAAGGUUAGAGGUUCAUGGCAAUUUGGGAGGCUUGAGGAGCAAGUGAAUAGGUAGCGCAGCAAAGCGAUAGAACGAAGCAACUAGCAUAGCAAUGAUAGUAAUGAGAUCCAAGGUGACGGUCAUCUUGCCUGAAAUCCCGCUAGGAAGAAGAACGAAUCCAUGAAGGAGAUGAAGCCACGAAGACGAACGAAUCCUCACGAUCGCAACGACACGGGAACUAUCGAGAAGAAGCACACAACAGGGUAAACACACCACACAUGAACAAGGCAUGAUGCUCAACCAAGAAUGAUGCAUGACAAGAGAUGAUGCAUACAAGAACAACACAUCAAGGCAAGUUUAAAUGAGGCCGGAAUCAACAUAUAACAAAUCCGGUAAGUCCUCAUAUGCAAGUUUCGAAAAAGGUCCAGAACUGAACAAGCAUUAAGUUGAAGUUGUUAAACAGCAAGUUAAAGAGCACCAUGAUGAUCUACAAGAAAUUCUAGUCAAGUUACAUAUAAAGUUCAUUAGAUUCGGAGCUACGGCCUAGAAGAUAUGAGCAAGACGAGUUAACCAUGGCAUUGAUGCAAAAUGCAUUCAAACUCCUCAAAACAAGGAUGCAACAUGAUAAUAUGAGACUACAUACAAUUCUAAGCAAAUUUCAUAUAGAGCAUGCUCAAAACGGAGCAACGGUGCAACACAUACACUCCAAACAAGACAUAGUAACAAUCUGACCAAAACAGCAACUAGGCAUAUUGCAAGCAUCAAAACAAUAUGCUACAGCAACUCAACAUGAAAAAAAAGGCAUGAACAUGAUGUACAGGUAAAGCAAAACAAAACAUGAACACUGAGCUAUCUCCAGAAAUCACUAGAACAUGCUCAAAAGGACAUGGCAAGAUUGCAAAAUAAUAACAGAUUCACAGACUUAGCAGAAAUACUGGACAUGGCAGAAAUAACAUCAGGUAGCAAUGUUCAGAGCACGAAAUCAACAUGCUACAGGAACUUAACAUGGCAAAACGAGGCAUGGCAUCAAUCUACUCAAAGCAUAUAGAAAAAGUCCCUUACUGACCAUAAGCCAAAAAGGACCAGAAGAUAUGAUGGCAAGCAUGUAAACAUAGAAAGUUUCGUUAUCAGGUUUCAGACUUGGCAGAAAACAGAGCAUGGCAGAAAUAUUAAUAUGUAGGCCUCUUUGUGAGCUUGAUGCACUCACUACAGAGCAAUGCAUGACAAACCAAGCACACCUAUAGCAAGAUGGCAUGUUUAAGAAGCUAACCAUGGCAAGAUCAAAUACAUAGCAUGCAUGGAUCAACUACAAUAAGCUUGGCAAAAAUGAAUAUCAUGUUAAGAAUCUGCCAGGAAUAUUUUAUAGCAAAAGUAGAGCAAGAUUGAGUCAUGCUAGGGCACUCCAUAAUUGAAAACAAUUGCAGGAAUGGAUCAAUUACAACUAUAGCUACAAAACAUCCUUACUGAACAUCUCCAAAAUAUGCAUAGGUCUCUCUAUAGCAUCAAGUUUACAUGGCAACAAAAUUACAGCAGACAAGGACUUAGAGAAAUCAUUAAGUCCCUGAAAUCAGAAAUAUUACGGGGCCUACUUUGCAUGCUUGUGCUAGUCACCAAAAAGAUCACAAAAAUACAUGGACUGCACCACUGGAAAUAUGGCAUGGCAUACUUCAAAACACAUGUAGAGCUCAUGCUCAAAAGAUGCACAGAUUAAAUGAUACAAAAAUGACAAAUCACCAAGUUCUGAUAAGAACCAGCAGACAACAGCAACUAGCACUCUUGCAACGAUUAUUUGGGCAUCAAGAUGGACUCAAAUGAAUAUGGUGCAAUUGAACAAAAUUAAGAGCAUCACGAGGCGAACAAUUUGACAUAUUACACGCGCGAAUCGGAGCUACAUGCAAGAAGUUACGAUGCAGAGAACAUGGCAUGAUAAUGAUAAAUUUUCAGGACUUGCAAUAUUUUGGAGGGGGGGAGGAAAGUCAACGUACGGGCAACCGGAUCGAGAUCUGGCCGAGGCGACGCUCGAGCUCGGGCCGGAGGACGGCGGCAGAAGCGCGCCGGCG